rnacentral:lncRNA from 1 species
GGGCGGGACAGGUACAAUGAAUUUCAAAGAUAAUUAUAUUCCCCCAUCAUAGUUUUCAUUUUCAAUAAUUUUAUUACAUCUUCAUCUCUCCGUCAAACAGGUCCAAAACUUGUCGAGGACUGUUGUAUGCGAAACAGGAGAACCACUGAAUCAACCUACUAAUUAUCCCACUGCCUCCAUUCUUAUAAUACCGAUGGUCUUGGAUCGAUGCACGAUAUACUCCUAUAUUGUACCAUAUACAAAAUAUUAGAGCUUUAUUUUAUCUGAAAUGACUAGUUAUUAUUUAAAGCGAAAAUAUUGGCUGGUGAUUAUGGGCAGGGGACAAGAAGGUUAAAAAGAGCUACAGUAAUCCCGCUAAGUUUGAUUCCACACAUUCUAUAAUCUGGCAAUCUUCUGAACAAAAAGCAUUUUCCUCUUCUCAUUCAUAACUCCGUACAUGUGACAGUUGAAAAACAUGAAGGUUGGACAAUGCGAUCCCAAUUGUAUCUAGAAAUUUGCAUUACACGUAUAAAAAUGUCUCGCUCUAGCAAUCAUUGGUGCUAAAAUCUAUUGCAAGUUCGUCAACUUAAUUCAAAACUUCUGCAGCUGUUACAAUGUUCCCUUUACUCAACCCCCCCCCCCCCUUGUUUCUUCUCGAAAAAAAAAAAUCCUCUGGCGAUGUUGGUAGAGCUGCAGAAGACGAGAUCAAAAUUCAAGGCUGUAAGGGUAUAAAUUUGACCCAAAAAGACUGAAUCAUAUACUCAUUGUAAACAUGAAGCCAUAUUGAUAAUUUCCUAAUCUGCUAUAUUGCUGGUUUAUGAGAACCAAGUUCUCCUCAAUCUUCACAAGAGCUAAGACUAAUUUUCUCAAGCUGCAUAGCCCAAUCUUCUCCAAGUACCUGCGGAUUCAGUUCCAUUGCAGCUCGAAAGUCCAACACGGAUGCAUAAAAAGAUUUUGCUGAUUCUUGCAUGAGAUGUCGAGGUAAAAUUCCAGACCUUAACCCAGCCAAUCUUACACAGGCCUCAAUCAAUCUUUUCACGUACGCAUCCAAGCCAUUAUUCAGUAGGUUAACACAAUCCACAGAAAUAUUAAUUCCCUCCAUCUCCAACUUCUUCUGCAAACGACUUCUUAGUGAUCUUGUAUCAGGUAGCUCACCUUUAUUUUGACAGCUCUCUAAGUGGUAAUUACUGCAUGAGAAAGCAUUAGAAAGAGAUUUGCGAGAUCCACCAAAAUUUAUGGAGAAACCAAGAGGAGCAGUAACUGGACUUUUACUCUGAACACCUGGGCUUCCAGCCACCUGCUCAACCUCUUCCCCGUCUUCCACAGAUGCAACUUCAGCAGGAGGUCUGCUCCCAAGUGAAAGCAAUUCAGUUGCACUCUGCUCUUGUGCCUUGGAAACUGACUCUUCGUGUACAACAUUUUGUGGCUUUCCAAGUGGCCCUAGUGGACUAGGGCGGUCCCGAAACUUUUUAUCCCAAUUGACAGGAGACCUACCUUUGCGAGGCGAAGGAGGAAAUGCAUCCCCAUAAAGUGACUGAAGACGAUUACGAUGAUAACCAUUUCCAACUUGAUGGUUACUUCCUACUUUCCUAAUAGUUUUUAAUGGUGGAACUCUAGAGAUGCAGGCAUUCUUGAUAAUGGAUCUAAUAAGCCGGUUGUGAAGUCGGAUAUUUUCCUUCCCGAUGGUCUUAAUGCAAGACUUAUCAAAUUCACACUUGCUAAUCUUCAAACUAAACAACCUUCUUAGCUGAUCAAAGUACUUCUCUGCUCUUUGAUGUCCAACCUUUCUUACAAUAAGAGCCUUUAGCUCUAAGGUGUCGUCACGAGCAUAAUCUUGAUUGAGCAUCAUCUUCCACUCCAAUUUCCUCAAUUUCACUCAAGAAAAUACCAGCAUCCAAAGACAAAUGCUAAAACAAAUUUUUAUAUGUCAUCAAAAUCUCAACUUCCAAUCAAACCCAGAUGGCAAAUCACAGCUCCUCGAUAAAAAACCUAAAACCCUGAUCCCGAAACCCUAUUUCCACCUGCAAAUUAAUCAUAAUUCAAUCCAUAGAAAAUCACAAAAUUACACAUUUACAACAUUCUUAGAAAAAAAACAACAAAAUCCAAUCAGAAAUUUAGCUCAAAUAGGUGAAAGAAGAUUUCUAUUUAAUUGAUUAAUGCUAAUAGUUACUAAGUAAAACCAAUACAAACUAUUAAAAGAUAAAAAACGGGUAAAUUUUGGUGAAAUUAAAGAAUUACGGAGACAAAUUAUCAGAGAAAGCAAUCAAACAAAUUCGAAAGAUUUAAGCACUGAUAAUAAGAAAUAAUUCAUACCCAUUUGAGAUUUCGAUAAGAAUCAAAAACCCAAAAGGCGAAUUGAGAAUUGAAUAGAGGUUGAGUGAGAUACGUACCAAACUCGGUCCAUGCCCGUUUUCUGUUUGGCUAUGAACCCUGUGUUUUUUUUUAUUUUUAUUUCGCUUUUCUCCCUUUUCUUGUACAGUUGUUUGGUGAUCGGUUCUUUGUCUGUUAUUUUUCUUUGUUACGCUAUACGUGUGAACCGGGAAAAACCAAACAUUAACAUAUGAAGGCCGAAAAUUCUUGGGACAAGAAACUCACGUGCUCCUUUUCACGUUCGUGAUGUGAGACUUGUUAGGGACUGUUCAUUUGCGCCGUCUUAUGGUUGCUUCAGCUGUCUUUAUCUCGUAUUCUUUAACAGAAAAUUGAGUUGCUUGCUUCAUUUAUUUGGCCUUUUUUGGGACAUAAUGUUACGAAUCUUUACUUUAUAAUACGAACAAUCUCAUCUAAGUUUCUUCACGAAAGUUUCUUUAUUUGGAAACUAUUUUAGAUUUUUUUUUUGAAAUUUUUUUGUAUUCUAUAAUUAUUUUAAAUUAUAAUUAAUUUAAAAUAAAAUCGAAUCGAAUUUUAUAAAAAAAAUAAUUUUUUUUAAUUUUAAUUUUUUAUUUUUAAAAUUUAAAAUUAAAAUUUUACUUAAAAAAAAUCGAAUUCUUUAUUAUUUGAACCUAGGUAAUUAUUUUAAAUGUUUUAAGGUGAUACCAAGUGGGACGGCAAAAUGGACGGAUUGGACCCGCCUGGCAUGACCUAGUAUCGGCCACAAUGAAGAGCAGCUCUUGCAGGUCCAACCCACUCAUGUUAUGGACCAUGUCUUGAACGGUUAAGAUUUUUUGAGGAAUAAGUCCAACGCGUUCCGUGGUCCAAAUCUAUUAUGGGUUGUGUGGAGUUGACCUGACACGAAGUGGAUUGGGUUGGGCAAUGAUCGGCUUGACCUAAUUUUUUUACACAUAAUCCUUUCCUCAAUUGUUGGAUCUUUUUAUAGAUUUACUAUUUUAAUGCAGUAAUCAUGAGAAAAUAGUAAAAAGAUUAAAAUUUUAAAUAGGUGGUUUGGUUUAAUUAAAAAGUAGUGUCAUAUCCUUUUUUUUCAAAGAAUUAAUUUGAGAAGUACCCAAACAGCGCCUUACGAGUUAAGACCCAACUUCCUCUUUCUCCCGCCUUUGUCUGUGUCACUCAAGAAAGAAGCCUGAAAAUUCAAAACCAAUCCAAGCUUUGUUCCAAACCAUUGAAAGAUUCCACAACCCCAAAUACAAAUCAGUAGGGUUUGAAUAUCAUACUUCACUUAGGGUUAUAAAUGAAUAGAACUUUUGACAAAUUAUUCAUAAAUAUAUUUAAUUUUUAUUCGUUUAUAUUUAUUUAUUAAAUUUAACAAAUAAUUUUAAAUAUUAUUUAUAUAUUUGUUUAUUAAACGAACCCAAUACAAAUAAUUAUUUAUUCAUUCAUUUAUAUACAUGAAUAAACUUAUUUACUAUUUAUUUAAAAUUUUUUAUUUACUGUUUAUUUAUUGUUCAUUUAUAAUAAUACUAAUAAAAUUAUAUUUUUAUAAUUUACAUUAAUCUUACUUUAAGAUUCAUUUAUAUUUGUUUGAGUUUAUUAAUAUUUAUUUAAAAUUUAUUUAUUUAAAUUUAUUUAAUUAUAAUUUAUUUAUUGUUCAUAAAUUAUUUAUUUAUAUAUGUUUGUAAACAUAUUCGUUUAAUGUUUAUAAACGAAUUUAUUUAAUUUAAUUGAACAAACAUAAACAUAAUAUGAAUAAUUUAUUAUUUAAAUGAAUGAACAUGAAUAAAUAAAGUAAUUUCUUAAUCAACAUGAAUUAAAUACAAACACUUUUAAAAAUAAAUAAACAAAGUACAUUUACAGGCCAACCUUCAGAUUCGACUCCCUGAUGGCAUAUCGUUGGUCUGUUUAUCUUCCAUGUUCUAUCUGAGGCGAUUCAACUGUCCAGAAAGGAGGGGCUUCACCAAAUUUCAGCAUGUAAGCAGUCUCAUGAACAGGCCGCCGGUGCUGAAUCAAUUGAGCUUCCAGAUAAGAAUCGCAAGCGAAGCACCAAACUGACAGGUCACAGGCUUCACACAACCAAAAUAAAAAGUUACCCGCAAAACUUUCCGACUCUCACUCCUUUUUUUUUUUCCUCAAGGAACAAAGAUAGUAAAAUGAGAAGCAAAAAAUAAAGCAAUUAUGACUACAUGCCUAUAGCCGAGUAAAGAUUUAUUUUGGAUUCUAAACUUCAAAAGUUUUAAUUGAAUUUUUAAUUAGAUAUAGUUAUUUUAUUUUAGUAAUUCUGUUUAUGAGAUUGUUUAAAUUAAUGAAAAUAUUAAUUGACGCUAUGAGGAUAGUGUCAAUUGUCACGUGGAUAGUAAUUCUCUCGAUUUUUUAUAUUUCAUAAAUAUAUGAUAAAAUAUUAAAUUCAAAAUAAUAUUUUCAUAUUUUUUAUUGUAAUAAAAGUUAAUAAUUAAAUAUUUUAUUUUUGUUUUUAAUAGAAAAAAUUUUCAAAAAUUAAAAUUAAGUUAAAAUUUUUAAAAUCCUUUUAAAAAAAUUUAGCAUCAUUUAAAAAAUAAGUAAAAAAAUUUGUAUAUCAAUUUAAAAUUAAAUAAAAAUUCAUUUUUAAAAAUAUUAAGUAAAAAUUUCUAUAUAAAUUUUAAAACUGAUUUAUCAAUAUAUUCAUAAAUUUUUUUAUUGAAAAAAUUUAUUUGAAUUUUUUUAUUAAAAUUUUAUAUUUAUAAACAAUAAAAGAACAAACCAAAAAGCAUAAAACAAUUACUAGGGUUUUGGACUCUGUAUAUAUACCCUCAUUUUCCCACUAAACCAAAAUCCACUGCCGAAUCUUGGUUUUGAAUUAGCUCCUCGUCUCCUUUAGCCUUUUCAGAGCUUUGAUCGAGGAGCAGCUAGUUAAUCAAUCAUGGGUCACUCUAACGUCUGGAACUCCCACCCCAAAACCUACGGCCCUGGCUCUCGCGCCUGGUAAUUACUUUCUCUCCCUCUCUCCACUCUAUUUGAUUGCUUUUGCUUAUACAUUUAAAAAAGAAGAUUAUUUCUAUUUAGUUUCCUGGAAGAGGCUAUCCUGUUAAUGGAAGGAAAUAAAAUUUUAUUUUAUUGAUUUUUUGAGUGCCUGAUCCAACGAUUUAGAUGUUGUUCGUAGUAUGUAAGGGUCUUAAUGACAUGGUAUUUGCUUGGAUUGAGAUCUUUUUGGAUUUUUUGAGAGUAGCAUGUAGAAAUAUUCUGCCAAGGUUUUUGUCAAAUCUGGUAUUGUCUUCGUUAAAUGAUAUUGUGGUGUUUCAUGUUACAAGGACCUUAGAAAUUUUUUUGUAUUGUUUUGAUAGCCGUGUGUGCGGAAACCCCCACGCCAUCAUCAGGAAGUACGGACUCAUGUGUUGCAGACAGUGCUUCCGUAGCAAUGCCAAGGAAAUCGGAUUCAUCAAGGUAAAACUAAGACCUCUUCAAUUACUCUUCUGGUGGUUACUGUUAUCUUAUAUAUAUAUAUAUAUAUAUAUAUAAUUUUCAGAUCAGUUGUUUCUUUACAUCCGGGUAUUUCUGUUCUUUUUUGCAGUACCGCUGAAGAAUUUAUACGGUGUGAAGUAGGAAGGACUUUUGCCAAGUAUGAACCAUUGGUAGUCUGGUUGUUGAAUAUGAAGGAACUAAGAAAUUGGUUUUUUUUUUUUUUAAGUUUAGACUGGACCUCAAAGUGGUUGUUGAACUGAGAAUAGCUUGUUGUUUCUCAAUGAAGCAAUCGUAUUGUUUUUAUUUGGGAAUAUCUUUAUUGUUAAGUUUGCUAAUAAAUGUCUUUGCAAUGUGAUUAUAACGAUCCUGUUGAUUAUUGGCAGUUCAUGUGUUCUCUAAAUGAAAUUAGAGGUUCAACUUGUUUACAUUCCGAGUUCUCUGAAAGCGAAGAUUUUUAGUCUUCUUGUCGCAUAUGAUCUUGUUAUGGUCUAGGUCUUCGUUUUUUGAUUCAAUGCAUCAAAAUCUGCAACUCUUGUUUUGAUGUCUGAAAACUAGCAAAGUUUCUGUACUCAUUAAAUUCUGUGUUCAUUGAAACUGUAGUGUCUUGUGUAAGAUGAUGCAAUGUUCUGUAAUUCUAGUUUUAACCAAGUUGGUAUUAUCUUGGUGUAGAAUAUGCAAAUUGGAGUUGAUUAGCCUGUAACUUGUUAACCUAUUCUGAACCCAAUUUUGAAUGAUGGAAGUAUGUAACUGGCUUUCGUAACUGCUAAGAGGGCGCACAAAUGUCUGCAAGACAAUUAUGCUGGUGUUAAUGCAAACAAAAGUUGGGUUUUUUUAUCAACCAAAAGUAGAGUAGAAGUUAAUAUCAUGUCUGUAAAAGUAAUAAUUACUUCUACGUCCCGGAAAGAUGCUGCAGAAGUGCAACCAGCUCAGUGCUUAUUGAGUAAAGUUAAAAUGUGCAUGCAUAGCUCAUAAUUCAUCAGAUAUUAGCAAUGCAUUAUCAAUCUGGAUUGAAUUUUGAAAGACCUUGUACAAACCUCAUGGGAAGCAAUCAGAGUCUUAUGAUCUUAUCCACCCUCAACCUCAAGUUGCAGCAUAACUCCAGCUUUUUCUGUUCAGAACAAUGGCCUUUUGCUAGUGGAACUGGGAAUUGGCCGAUUGUUUUCAUUGUUUUUGAAUGUUGGGGCUGAACCCAGAUAAGACGUUGUUCUUGUGGAUAAGACAGAAUCUACCAGUCAAUCAUGGCAUAAAUUGAGUUUAAAAUUUUAACUGACUGGUUGUUCCCUGUUUGCUUAUUGGAUUUAUUGACUGGAUUUUGUUUUUCUCAUAGGCUCCAUAAGCUCGAGUGUCUGCAUAGAAUUUCAAUGUAACAACCUAAGUAAAAAUUCUCAUCUCACUAAAUUUUAUCAUGUGUAAGCCCUUGAGACUAAAAGCCUUGCACCUUUUCAGCCUUUUGGCUAACAGCGAGAAGUCUUACAGUGAAACCAACGAAACCUAGAAUUCCGCAUGUAGUACAAUAGCUAAGCUAUCAACUUCACCUGAUAAAAUGCAUCAUUUCACCAACCUCCUUGAAUAAAUUUCUUCUUCUUCAAGCUAUUUUUUUGUACCCUCUCUGUACCUUUCUUUUGAAUGUCAAUCAAUUGUCUCAAUCUUAGGUUUCUAAUCCUGGAAGCCUCCUCAAAGUCCCAUCUUCCAUGAAAUUAUUCAAGUUUUAACUUGUAUGUAAAUUUAUUGUCAAAUUAAAGCCACACAACUGUUACUAAAGCUGGAAGAUCAGUCACAAGAAUGGAAUAUACUUACUAAUGGCUCAAAGAAUUCAUCUGGACUAAUUUUCACUUCAAUUCUUAUCGUGGAAUAUUGAUCUAAAAAUCAUGUUUGUUGCUAGAUGCUUAGAUCUUCAUUAAAUUCCUACACUGAUUCAGACCAAAGCUUUGUCUUUAAUGUUGUUAGUCAAACCAGAAUUCUAGGGUUAGUAGCAAAAAUUCUGCUAUAGGUCUGGUGCGGAUGUUGAUUUGGAAGACCAGCUUCUAUUUUUCAUUUCAAAGUCACAUGUUGGGGAUGGCAGUUUAAACUUGGUUUUAGAACUUAUUUAUGUUUUGAGUGUUGUCUGCGGUGCUGUCCUUAGAUGUGGUCCGUUUUGCAGGUUAUAAAACGGAUGACAGCCACAUGCUGAAACUCGUUGGUGACCAAUCACAAUUCUCAGCUGAAAUGGGAAGUUUUAUGAUUUCUCAAAAACCUUUUCAAAAAUGUUGUUAUUCCUUUUUGCGCAUGCGGAAUCAGCAAUUAAAAUAGUCACAAAGUUUGCUGGAAGGAAGAAAAGAAAGAAAGGGAGAAGAGGAAGGAAAGAGAGGGGGUUGUUUAGAAGAUAGUCAUACACUUUUAAAAGUGAGGUAGAAGUGGAAAGGAGAAGCAAUGUUGGAAAGCUAUGGGUCCAAACAAAAUCAUUCUCUUAAGUUUAUAAUCACUUGGAAAGUGGGCUAACUGAUGCCUCAAUUAAACAAACAUCAAUUGGUGGGGGUGUUUUCCUUUUAAAUCAGUUAUUCUAUGGAGUGUGUCUUUAAGUCACAUGGCUGCAAAGUUUCAACUAGCAUCAUUCCGUAGUUCAGAUUUCAGAGCAACAGCCAUAGCUUCACAAGGUUCUUUCUAUUAAUUAUGUCUUUACAAUGUUAAAACAACAAUUUGCUGAUGAAAUUGCAGGAUAUGUCAGAUGGUAUGGGGAUUCUUAACAGCUUCAUGUAUCUUAGUUGUUGGUCAAUUAGUUCAAUCAUCAAUUUGGUCUAAUCCAUAUUUACUACUACUUCACUUAUGCGGCCUUGUUUGUCAUUUUUCUGUCUAGUUGGAGCCUCCCUUUCUUGUUCUUCAUUGGUUAAAUUUGGAAACUUAAUCUGUAAAAGUGCAUGAACUGCAAAAGUCCAAAUAAAGACAACCAAAAGCAGGCCAGAUUGCUGUGAAUUUCAGAUUUGGUGCUUCUUCUUCUACCUACUUGUGCUCUUUCAGUUUACCCUGUCAUCAUUGGAAAUAAAUUUUUACCAUCUAAACUCACCAGAUAGUUAAAAAAAAUGCAAAGAAUGACAAAUAUAUCAGAUAACUUACUUUCAUUAAGGAUUACUAUGAAAAAAGCUUGGUUGCUGGAUAUGCAUACUAUAUAUUCUCUAUUAUUAUCUUAAUUGAAGUAGUUGAUAUGGUAAUUCAAAAACACUAUUUAAUCUGCAGAAUCUAAGGGAAAAAAGUAACAGAAAGUUAAAUAUAGAACAAACACAAGAGGGCAUUGAUGUAAGCCUUGCAACCAAAUUCAACACCAAAGAGAAAAAUUGUAUGAUUGAAACAAAAUCUUGUUUUUAGACACAUGGUUCAUAACAUACUUUUCAUAAAAUUGUAAAAAAAAAAAAAGAAAAAAAUCCAUUAGAAGAAAAACUGCAAGGGGCGAUUAAUAAAUUUGCUUUGGGUCAUUUUCGUAUGAUUAGAAGUGUACAACGAUCAAGAUAUACGACCCACCACCUCUCCAAUCACUUCUUACAGUUGACUAAUAUCAUUGUUUUCACUUUCUCAGCAAGGUUUUACAUUAAACAAACUAGCAACUGAAUUUUGGCUUUGCUGAGAAUUGGCAGAGACAAAAAGGGAAAGUUAAUAUAUUAGAAACUUUGGAAAAAGGCCGGGGAAGAAAAAAAAAACAAAGCGUUGAAAGCAAGGGAUAUAGAGAUUGAGAGAGAUCAAAAGAGACAUUGCAUCUUAUAUUAAACCAAUUAACAAAUUGGUUUAUAGCUUUGCUUGCAAUAAUCACAAGGCAUUCUUUUGUCUUCUCUUUUCUUAAUAAAUUUUCUUUUUGUUGCAUUUUUUUCAUUUGAUGCCAUCAACCACUCGACUGCUUGGAAGCUCUUUUCAUGGGGUUAGCUCAUUCAUGUAGCUCCCCUGCGUAAGGCACCCUCUCUUACAAAUCUAAAGUUAAUCUAAUUAUUAUAACAUUAAGGCAAAGAUUGUAUGGCAUUUGUCGGUAGAGAUGUUGCUAUUUGUCUUACCUUACCCCACAAUUUGUAAGUCAAGCUAAUCUUCUUAAGAUAUUGGACCGAAUUGUUAAAAAUAAAAUUUAAUAUUUUACCAACAAAUUAUAUUAUUGACGGAAAUUUUUCUUUUCAUACCUUUGCUAAUACAUAAUUAAUUCGGUUUAUGAAAAUUAAAAAAGUGAUAUAGAUCUAGAGAUUGUGAUUAUAGUAAAGGGUCAUAAUCAUAGCCAUAAAGUUUUUAUUAAACGGAUGAAAAGAACUUUAAAAAUAGCAGUGAUAUAGAUGUACAAUCUGAUGUAUGCUUCUAAUUGAAGCAGUAGGACAUUUUUUGUGAUUGAAAAGUACUUAAUUUUUUAUAUUAAAAAGAACACAAAAAUCAAUUUUCGAAAGAUCAUAUAAACAUAAAAAAAUACAAAGUUUUUUUUUUUUUCUCUUAUGACUGAAUUCUCCUAAGAGAUUUAUACACGAAGCAGUAAAAGAAUGAAUGAUUCAUCAUUGACAAGUUGUUUGUUUUAACUUUGUUUUAUUAGCUCUUUUAUUUGUUACUAGUAAGUACGAUUACUAUUUUUUUUUGUCUUAAUAGGUAUCACUGUUAAUAUAUAAUUCACAUAUAAAUAAAAAAUUUUACAUCAUUAAAAAAUAUGAAUGAGAUAUUUUAUAUAUACAUAAAAGAUCAAUGAAUCUAAUAGCUUAAAUUUUUAAGUUCAAGUGAUAUCUAAUAUGUAUGUAUAAGCUCUAAUGUGCUUUUAUGGGCUUCAAGUUUGAUUUAUUUCUUCAACAAAUGAUAUCAGAGUAAAAAAAAUCACGAGUUCAAGAAAUCAUAGGUUCGAGUCCUAGUAAUGUAACCUGGGGAGAUUGUUGAUAGAUCGAAAGUUGGAUCAACUCUAUGUACUUGAACACCGAUAUUAAAAUGUUCGAUUUGGAUGUAACGAAUCUAUGAUAAUAUGCAUAAGCGAAAAAGUCACAAGUUCAAGAAGUCAUGGGUUCGAGUCCCAGUAAUGUUGCUGGAGGGAGAUUGUUAACAGAUCGAAGAUUGGCUACGUUAAUUAACUCUAUGUGCUCGAACAUUGGUAUUAAAAGGUUCGAUUUAGAUGCAAUGAAUCUAUGAUAAUAUGCAUAAGCGAAACAUCCAAGUGGGUGAUAUGUUGAAUCAACUUGGAGUGUAAGCUUGAGAGAGUAGACAACGUAGGUAGCAAGGUUGAAUGUUAUAGCUUGACCCCUGACCCAAAAGCGCAUUAGAGAUGUAAGGUUGUCCGAUCUAAAGGAGAUGUUAAUAGGACUUACUCAUAUGAAAGAGUCGGGAUAUAACUUAAUUAGAACUCACAAGUGAACAUGAAAAAUUGUUGAAAUAUGAUUUACAUGUGAAUGAAAAAUCUCACAUCAUUAAAAAAUUUGAAUAAAAUGUCUUAUAUAUGCAUAAAAGAUUCAAGAAUCUAAUAGUUUAAACUUUUAGACUCAAAUAAUAUCCAACAUAUAUGUAUAAAUUUUUUGAUAUGUUCCUAUAAAUUUUAAGUGUAAUUUAUCUCCCUAACAAUCACUUCUUAUAUAAUAGUUUAAACAUUAACAUAAACAUAAAUAUAAUCCUUUGAGAUUAAAACUACUUAAAUCAAACUGUCUUGUUUACUCGAGACAAUUUCCAGCAUACACACCCCAAAACAUUGACCAUCCCGUUAUUUUAUACCCAUUUUUGUCAAAAUUGAUGUUGUCUUUUUUUUUUUUUAAGUUAUCUUUGAGGGUAAAACUGCUGGCAUUUUAGAUAAGAUUUUAUUGUUACAUUGUUACUCUUUGAUCUUGACAGUUACAGGUUGAUUUGGAAUAGCAAUAAAACAGUUAUGUACAUCUCUACUGUUUAAUUAUGGGUAUUAAUGCAUACACACCAAAAUCAAGGCUAUAGACAAGUAUUAGUACCCCAAGUUCUUCUCUUUCACUUCAACAUAAAAAUGUGGGUAAAUUUACGACAUUGACCUAGUACAAGAAAAAAUAAAAUCAAAUUAAUUAGAAAAAAUGAAAUGUGAAUAAACAGAUUAUUCAUCUAUGUAAAGGUAAAAUAAUGAUUUUUUUAAUACUUAUAAAUUAAUUUGGUAAGUCUACCUUUGCCGCACUUGAUCGACCAUACACCAUAUCAUUUAAUUUCCAAAUAAAAUAAAAUAAAAGUAGUUUCAACUUUUAAAGUAUAAGAGAGUGGGGGGACAGUUAACCUAAAAUAGAUCUGAAAAUGAUUUUUGAGAAAGGCACAGAGCAUGGAAAAUCAACUAAACCAAGAACAAGGCUUAAUAAUUGUUAUUAAUUAGUUAAUAAUAUAUAAAGACCGCAAGCAAAUAGCCUUGUGAUCUUAAAAUGUUUAUUUUUUUUAAAUGAUUAAAGUUUAAAUUUUGAUGAUUUUAAUUUUAAAAUACUCAAGUUUGCAAAGAAAUUUAAUUAGUAAUUUAUAAAAAAAUAUUUAAUAUAUUUGCAAUGAAAAUUUUUAAUUUUAUAAACAAAAUUAAAAUAAUAACACAUAUUUUAUUUGUUUUAACUUAAAUUUUUUAAAUAUAUAAAAUUAAAAAUAACACAUAUUUUAUUUAUAUUUAUAUUAAUUUCGUUUAUAAAAUUAAAAAAAUUAUUAUCAAUAUAUUGAAUAAUUUAUCUUUUUUUUUUUUAUAUUGAGGUUGAGGAAGGGAUCGCAUAAAUAAUUCAACACUUCUGGAUAAAUCAUGUGGGUUAAAGUUGGGGAUUCAACUUAAUCAGUAGUUGAUUAAGCAGGAAACCAGUUGUUUUAUUAUCAUUUCUCAUUUGGAUUUCUAUAUGAUUUAUACCAUAAUGUUUCAUUAUAAAGAUUAAAGUCCAAAGAAAUUGGUAAUUAAUUCAUUAAAACUAAAAAAAUUUACAUAAUUAAUAAAUCUAACGUCUUUCCAAAGAUUCACAAGAACCCAAACCCAGAAGCCCAGCUGAAUCUCUUUCUUAUUCUUUGCUUUCGCUUUAUAUCUCUCUUUUCCCGAAUCUCACCUUACCAACUCUUUUCUUUUCUCUCUCGGAAAACCCAGAAAAGCUGUGUGGGUUUCAGUGCUGUUGAAGUAAAAUGCAGAAUCCUUAAGUAACCCUUUAUGGGUUGUUUUCUAUUAUCCUCAAAAUUAUCUAAAAUCUUGUUUCCUUCGAGGUUCUCAGCCAUGAAAAACAAUAAAAAAGAAUUUUCUUUCAAGGCAAUGCAGAAGAGAAGGUAGAUUCCUUUGCAGUCUCAGAUGAUGGUGGCUGCAUUUUUUCAUCCACCAACUCCUUCACAGCCCCCUGUUCAAGAACCACAGCAAGAAACAAAUGCCCAUCAAGAAGAAAACCUAAGCACAACAACCGAAAGGUCUCCUCUUAAAGACAAUGGCUCCACUGUUACAAGAAAACCCAGAGGUAGACAAGUUUCUUCCAGGUAUAUGUCUCCUUCUCCUUCUUCCACUUCUUCUUCCUCUUCUUCUUCAGCAGCAACAAAGCGACAGCCAAAACAACCACUAGAUUUCCUUCACCUCUUAUUUCUCGUUCCACUAAUACGACUCCAACGGGGAACAAAACGACUACGAGAUCUCCUUCUCCGCUUCUUUCUCGUUCAAAAAAUGCUACUUCUACUUCAGCACCGACUUCAACGGUGUUAUCUUCGCUUCCUAAACGGUCUCAAUCUGUGGACCGGAGGCGGCCCGGGGGUCAAGUGUCACAAGGAAACAAUGUUAAUGCCACGGAAUUGUCAGCUGCUUCCAAGAUGUUGAUUACUUCAACGAGAAGUUUGUCCGUUUCAUUUCAAGGUGAGGCCUUUUCGCUUCCGAUUAGUAAGACAAAGGCUCAAGUGGGUUCUACUUUGACUAGAAAAGCAACUCCUGAAAGGCGUAGAGCUACUCCAGUGAGAGAUCAUGGGGAGAACUCGAAGGCGGUGGAUCAGCCCCGCUGGCCUGGGAGAACCCGGCAAGGGAAUCCGGGAUCGAAUCCGUUGUCUAGGAGUUUGGAUUAUAGUGGUGAAGGGAAGAUGUUUGGAUCUGGUGCAAUGUUGGCUAAGUCAUUGCGACAAUCAAUGAUGCUUGACGAGAGCAGUAGGAGGGUUUCUUUUGAUGGUAAUAGUAGGUUGAGUUUGGAUUUCGGAAGUGCUGCUGAGUUGUUAAAAGAAGCCAAUAAGCAAAACCGAGAUGCUAAUUCUCUAAAUGAGGCUUCUUGUGUCUCUUUCGAUCUCACUGCGUCUGAUACAGAUAGUGUGUCUUCUGGGAGCACCAAUUCUGGAAUGCAAGAAUGUGGAGGAAGUGGGAUUUCGAAAGGGAGGGGCGGACCCCGUAAUAUUGUUGUGUCUGCAAGGUUUUGGCAGGAAACUAAUAGCCGGUUGAGGCGGUUACAUGAUCCGGGUUCACCUUUAUCUACAAGCCCUGGGUCUAGAAUUGGUGCUCCAGCUAAGUUCAGUCAAUCAAAAAGGUUUUCUAGUGAUAGUGCAGUGUCUUCUCCACGGACAAUGGCGUCUCCUAUUAGGGGAGGUACAAGACCUGCUUCUCCUAGUAAGCUUUGGACAUCUUCAGCUUCAUCUCCAUUGAGAGGGCUAAGUCCUGCUCGGAUGAGAAAUGCAGUUGGUGGGCAGAUGAUUGGUAAUUCUGUUAAUUCCCCUUCAAUUCUUAGCUUUUCUGUUGAUAUUCAGAGAAGAAAGAUGGGGGAGGAUCGGAUUGUUGAUGCACACAUGUUGAGGCUUCUUUAUAACCGUUACUUGCAAUGGAGAUUUGUAAAUGCAAGGGCAGAUGCUACUUUCAUGGUACAGAAACUGAGUGCAGAGGUAUGGUUAUCGUCCUGUCCAUCUCAUUUUUCUCAAUACAUUCAAUGCCAUGUGUCUAUGCGAUUUUUGUUUGAGAUAUUUCGUGAAUGCUUCAAUUUACUUCAUAGUAAUAAUUUUUCAAACAAGCUGAACCCAACUAGUUUAGGAUAAAGAUUACCUCUAUUGCAAGUGGCAGCUUACAUUUGGCAUGACGGUAUCUCAUAGAGAACAUCAUGUGGUCUUGUGCAAUAUGGCAUUAUGUAAUUUGUGUAUAUGCUAAAUUGCUGAAUUUAUGUACUGAAGGUUGCAUUUCAUUUAGUUAUCCUUGCCACCUGGAAUUCCCCAUAGUUCGUAAGAAAGUAUAUUCUUGUCCUUUUAUACAUGCUAGUAGAUUAGAUUUAGAGACAGAAGGAUCUUAAGGCAAUUUAUUGUCAUGUUUUUGAAUGGUAAAAUGCUUGAUGAGAUUAAUGAUUGGUGAGUAGGCUACCUGCUAAAGAUAAGAGCUAGUACUCUAGUCAGCUUUGGCAUAGUACUUAUCAACACAGGAUGAUGUAAAAUGUUUGCGAAAGACAUACUACCGAAUGAAUGUUAUUAAGCCUCUUUUCCCCUCUACUAUUCUCGUACUAGAGUAUUUAUCAGUAACUUUAAUCGCUUAAACUUCCUUGAGUAGAAUUUUGAGUCCUCACUAUUACGGCUAGGUUGGAUGUCCGGACAUUUUAUCACAUUGUGAAAGAGAAGCUUUGCUCUGGACAGUUGCCAUUUAUCAACAAUGGAUGCUACAUAGUCAGUGACUUGGAUUCCAAUAACUGUUUUACCUUUGUCCUUAUUGUCAUUGUACCACUAUUCCUAUGGUCCUUGUUCAUUUUCAACUUAGAGGUAAGGAAAAGUUUAAUGAUCUAAAGGAACUAACGGCCUAUUCUGAUGAUUUGAGUUGUUAUAUGAUGUCAAUAUGGAGUGAGUGUUGAAUGGUAAUUAUUGUAAAAUACUGUAUUUGACUGAUGAAUUUGAUAUGUGAUGUUAACGUAGAUGAAUUGUUGCUAAUUUUGUGUAUCCUUCUUGCCAUAAGUAUGAAUGUGUGAAGAGCUUUUCAAUCUCUCUCUACUGUUGUAAAUUUGCACAAUGGAAGGUUUAGUGGACUUAUUGGAAAAAGGCAGAGAUUAGAGAUAAGCUUGCUGAGGAAUUAUUUAAAUGAUAGAUUGAGUUUCAUCAGUGUCUAUUAUCAACUGCUCAGUGAUGAUCUUAUUCUGUUCUUGACAUGAGAGAAGUGAAUGAUAUUGACUGCAUAUCAGUUAAAAGGGCCGAUUCUGAUACCGGAUUAAGAGAGUGAAGUGAAAUGAAUCUCUUAAUCACACUCAUAAACAAAUGGAUAAUCUCACUCCCUUGAGGAUAUAGGUUCCACCACCCCAAAGAAACAAGAAAAGAUUACUCUAAAUUCUAGGGAUACAGAAUUCACCACCAUAAAGAAAAGAGCAAAACAAGUUCACCACCCUAAGGGAAGCAACCCAAGAGAUACAAAACUUAAGAAGGGAAAACACAAGGGCAGAUACAAAAGUUUGGUCUUUUGUAUAGAUAAAAUUAUUGGGCUUAGAAUAGGAACUUGCUCCUGCAUUAUAUUCAAAGAUUAGAAUAACUGGUAGAACAAGAAAGAUUGCUCUGGUUCUAAUAUUCUUUAAGAUAUACUUCUCUAGUAAUGAGAAUCAUGCAAGGGAAAUUUGGGCUGCUGGGUUUUGCUAUAUAAUAAACAGGGAUGGUUAAGUUUUCUUUUAUCAACAGUUUGGUAUAAUUGUCAGUUUAAUAUAAAAAAGAACUAGGUUAAGAAAAUAAUAACAGUGAGUUGAGAUUUAACAUGAUGUUCUCUAAUAAGUCUGAUAUGUUCAUGUCUAAUGUUCCUUAUUUUAUACCAGAAAAACCUGUGGAAUGCUUGGGUAACAACAUCAGAACUGCGGCAUUCUGUCACCCUUAAGAGAAUCAAGUUGCUAUUGCUGAGGCAAAAAUUGAAAUUGACUUCCAUCCUGAAGGGACAGGUAAGAUUCAAAACUUCACGUUUCUAAAUUGUUGAAUCAAAUCCUUGUAGACAUUUUCAUAGGUGCAACUGCUUCAGCUAUCUGAUUAUGUUUUUAGCUUCUUCAUAUUUAUCACAUCGUACAUGUAAUUCAUGUAUGUAUCCGUACUUUCAUAGUCCAGAGCAAAGCACAUGCUGCAUCAGGUUCAAUUGACAUCCAUAUAGAUGAGAGUAAAAAAAGGCAACAUUUUUAGGAAUACUGUUGAUGAGGAUGAAAUUAUCAAAAUUGGGACUUGGGUGUUAUAAUGAGGAAUUUUUUUAGUUUUCAGCAAUGGUCUAAGGGGGCUACAUGGCCUUGGAAACAUGCUUUAGAAGCAGUCACCAGUCAUGUACAUCAUGGCAUGAGUAUGUACUGAAUUUUUGUCCUAAUUAAGACACCUAAAAGAUGGAAAAAGGAAAAUUAGAUUUGUUAUUCUUGUCUGCAGUAGUGAAUGGUUCAGUGAUUGAUUUGUGUUUGAAUUUCGUUCACCUUCUCGUGUCAGAGGAAGACAAGAAGAAAACAAGCAAAUAAGAAAUCAAGGAAAGUCAAGAAAAGAUAGUUUUGUUCUAUUAUAUUUCAAGCCCAGAAGGAAAAAUGCUGUUGAUGACUUGAUAAUUUGACCUUUACUCAGUUUCUCUUGUUGCCCUUUCUCCACUUCUUACUGUGUGCUUGUUAGAAUAGAUCUAAUCCUUCCCCUCUCAGUUACAAGAUGCUGGCUUUUAUAGCAUGAAUUUCUCUUCUUCAUGACUAAAAUUUGUUAUAAUUGGUGAGUGUAGAUAGCUCAUUUGGAAGCAUGGGCCCUCCUCGACAGAGACCACUCUAGCUCUUUGCUAGGAGCAACUGAAGCUUUAAAGGCCAGUACUCUCCGUCUUCCAAUUGUUGGAAAAGCAAUAGUAAAUUUCUUCCUUUUUCUGUUUUCCCUGCUUUUCAAUAUACAAUCUAUUAAUGGUUCAGCUCAUGACUAUCAGUGUGGUUUAAAAUGUUGCCCUUGUUUCUCUUCCCUUUCUCUGUUUUCUCUCAUAAUAGGCUGAUGUCCAAAAUCUGAAGGAUGCUGUCAGUUCAGCAGUUGAUGUGAUGCAGGCAAUGGCAUCCUCAAUAUGCUCAUUAUCAUUAAAGGUAAAAUUCAUUAAUUAAAUCUUGUAGACAUUAUUGUUAGCAAAAAAUUCAUUAAAUUCUUUCCUGUGGUAAUUAUUUGUUUUUCUACUACUUUUAAGAAGUUUAUAGAUAAAUGCCACUAACACAAGAAAGUUCUUGAGUUGUGUUCUUAAUUGUUGCCUAUCAACAGGUUCUUGUUUUGCUGGUUUUCUUUAAUACAUAUUGUCUUCUGAUUAAGCCAGUUGUAACUUGUAAAGGCUUGACCAUAGCUCUAUAACAAGCCCUUCACUUGGUUUCUGACAUGAGAUAAAAAACUGAUUAUGGCUGUAGGAAAUGGAAAGUGCAUUUAAAAGUUAAAAACUCAUAGGUUUUGCUUGUUAGAGUGGAUAGAAAAAUGGAAAGAGGGAAAAUUAGAAAGAGAGAAAUGUGAAAAGAUAGAAAACAUAUUUUUUCUUUCCAUAGCAUGCUUGGUAGAAAAGAUUGAAAAGUUACAAAGGAAAUGUAAUUUUUAUUCCAUCCAUUGCAUGGUAGAGUUGAAAAAUGAAAGAAAAUGAAAGUCAUAUUAUUUUACCAUUAUUCCCUUUGUAAGAUAAAAUAUAAAAAAUGGUGAAUAAUCUUGUAAAUAUGCACCAUUGACUCACAUCUCCAAUUUUUUCUCCUCUUAUCAUUUCAAAUUGGAAUGAGUUGUUUUUGUGAAUAAGGGUAGAAAAUAAUCAUCUUUCCUAUUUUUUUUUCUUCUCUUUCCUACUAAGCACGCUCAAAAUUCAUUUCUUUAUGCUUUUUCACCCCUCUCCCCAAUCUAUUGUUCCACUUUUUCACCCUACCAAGCAUACUUUUAUGGUUUAGUGGGCUAUAUCUCACCAUAAUUUGUUCUGUUAGACUGGAACUGCAACAACUCUUUUAUGUUGUACUUAUGUGUUUGCCUUUUUGGAUUGUUUGUUGACUUUGGUGCCUAGGCUAGUAAAGGAAAUUGUAGAUAGAUAAGAGCAUGCUCCAAAAUUAAUGAUUAAAGCACUCAACCACAAAUAGGAGUCUUGAGGCUAGCUAGGCAAUGAAAACAUUUGUUACCAUUUGUCGGUGGGUCUUAAAAACAGUGAUGCAAUACUCCAAUUGAGUGGCGUUUCUCUAUGGAAAAGAGAACGGCUUACUGAAAGGUGAUGCCAAAAAGAAUAGAAAGUUAAUAGCAUAAUCCCUUCUCCCUUUCAGCUGAGUGGAUUCUGUGCCUGGCUCUUACCAUUUAGAAAACAGAUGAGAUAUUUUUGUCAACAGGAACUGUUAUUAUAUAUUCAUUAGGGGUGAGCAGAAAUUGGUUCAAACCAAUUUAACCAACCAAAACCGAUGAAAAAUGAUCAAUUUGAUUUGGUCUAUUUGGUUUUGGUUUUAGUCAGUUUUUUUGGAUCGAUUAAAUUGAUUAAAUUGUUUGGUUUUCAGUUCUUAAAACUAAUAACCAAACUGAUCGGAUUAAUUGACUUUUUAAUAAUAAGAAAAAAGUUGAGAUGAGUAUUUUUAUUUAUCUUUUUCUUGUAAAAUGUUAUUAAAAUUAUUAAAUUCUUUAGUGAUUUCGUUUGAAUGAUACUUAAAUUUAAGUUUUAUUAAAUUGAAUUUAUAACUAAAUAAUUGUUUAUAAUAAAAAAAAAUGAUAAAAUGUUCAGUUUUUUAACUGAACCAAUUUUAGUUAGUUCGGUUAUGAUCGGUUAUUUAAAAUUUUAUGUUGAUUCAGUUAUUUGUUGAAUGAAAGUUGAUUAAUUCAAUUAUUGAUUUUUUCGAACCGAAUUGAUCAAUCACUCAUCCCUGUAGAUAUUUAGAAAUUUUCCAUUAAAAGAAAAGAUAAUAUACAAACUUUUCCAGCACUCUUGUCCCUCAUCCUUGAAAAGGCACCGGAUUUACAAUGAAUUUUGUCUGUGGGGGCAUCUAGUUUUGCAACUGCAAAUGUCAUUUUCUAGGUUUGUAAUGUUAGUGUUACACCUUGAUGGAACACAUACUAACUUAAUGCUAUUGAAAUGUACUCUGACAACAAAAGGGAUAAAGUUUUAAUGAAGCCUUCACUCCUUGAAAAGGGAUGAAAGAAGGAAAUCUCGUAGUUUGUUUGAGCCUGUUUAUUUAUGCUUCACCUGAGCUUGCUCUUCGAAAGGAGCAAAUCUACCUAAUUAGCUAAUACCAUUUGUCCUUUGUAGGUGGAGGAAAUGAACUGUUUAGUGGAUGAACUUGUGAGUGUGACUGCAAAGGAAAGGGUUUUGCUUGAACAAUGUAAAGAUUUUUUGUCCAUGUUAGCUGCCAUUCAGGUAAACGUAGCAUUUUGUUUUAUAUUCCAAGCUAUUCUCCGCCUCAUCUGCUCAUGCGGCUCAUUGUUUAAGGACGGUUCUUUUCAAUAGGUUAAGGACUGUAGCUUGAGGACACAUAUAAUACAACUAAAUCGUGUACCCACUACCAGCAGCCGGACAACACGUGUAGAACUGAUCUUAUUUGACUAAUCACUCUAAAUGCUAACAACAUUACACACCCAAGCUCAUGUUUUUUCAAUGGGUGGAGGCGGCACUGGACAAAAUAAGAGUGGAUUGAAUAUAGCUAGGCUUGGCUUCUCAUUUUAGCAGUUUUGGAACCAGUUGUCUUCAAUGAUCACGCAUGUAAUUUUUUUUUUUUUUAAUUUAGGGAAAGUGGCAUAUCCUCUCAACUGACUUCUGUAUACAAGAACUCUCUUAUUUUUUUCUUUUUUUUUUAGGUAAAAGAAAGCCUUGUCUAUGUAAAUAUGUAAAGUUCACCCGAUAACUAAUUACCAUGUAUUUCUUUGUCUACUUUGAUUAAUCAUCUAAGUAUGAUCUUGUUGAUGCUUGUUCAAUCAAAAGACAGUCCCCAUUUCCAUUUUCUCCAAAUUCAAUGAAGUGCAUCCACUUUGAUUUUGUGUAAUUAUAAGCAAGAUUGGUGCAGGAAAUUGAAUUCUGCUUUCUUGCCCGAAUUGAAUAAACCACCUUGAUCGAACAGCGAUCUGCUGAAAUUUCUUUGUCAGAGCUUAUCUAAAUAGGGUGAGACGGGUAAUGAGGAUUUCGGCAUCUGACACGGAUGGAUAUGAUCAACGUACAAGGCUCAAAACCAAACACAUGAUUCAUGAAACACGAGGCAGAGUCAGGAGGGACCUGGUGAAGGAGCUGACAAAAUAGUAUUCUUGAUUUUCUGCCUACAUUCAAUGUUCCCAACAUACUCGGUAGCUUGGAGGGUCAAAUUCUGUUUCAGUUGCAAAUUUCAAUGGUAUGAUAAAACUAGGAUCAUGUGUUCCAGUGAAAAUGGGAUUGGUUUUAUUGACAAAAGCGGUGGAAGCUUAGAAAAUAAGUAAAGGAGAAUUACAAGAUGAAGCUCAACUUUUCACAAAUUUAUCUUGAGUGAAUUGUAUUUAAUUUUUUUUAAUAAAAGUGAGUGAAUUAUUUGAAUUUAUUCUGAAUUCCAUUUAAUAUGUAAGCAAUUCAUCUUUCAUAAUCUUCCUUUUCCGAUAUUGGAAGCAACGGUCAUCGUUCAUCAAUGUUUGAGAAAUCUAUUUCUUUAAAUGAUAAAUUAUAGUAACUCUAGUAUCUAAUGAAAUUUAGGUAAAAUUUUUAGUAUUUAAGUAGCUGUCAAAGUGAGAUCGGAGAAGAAGAAAAAGAAAAGGAAAACUAUGGAUGAAGAGAAAAAGGAGACAUUACAGCAAUAUUUGAGCAAACAACCAAAGUAGUCAUCGACAACUCACGUUUCAGUUCCGGCGAGUGGGGAGCUCAAAACCCCUACGCCCACCACUAACAUGGGCUGCCUUGCCUCCGCCGGUUACUCUUUUUCUUUUUGACCUCCACCUCCCUUACUGUGCCUGCGCCUUAGACUUUCCUUUCUUCGCAUUGUCAUCACGUGCUACAAUUUCAAGCCGGCUUUGAUCGUGACUUCUUAACUUCCUUCGUCUCUUUCUUAUUUUACUUCGAUUUUUUUUCCCGAUGCCAAAAAAUUAAAAUUAUUGAUUCUUUAUUCAACAAAGCAAGAAAAAUAUAAGUGAUAUUUUAUAACUAUCAAUUGAGUCGAUAAAAAUCAAAUGAUUUUCAUAACUAUCGAUUUUUAUAAAUUUAAUAUAAGUGAUAUUUGCGGUAUGCUUUAAUAAUAAAAUGAAAUACUAUAUCAUUGCCUAUAUAAAUUUUUUUAUCAAAAAAAUAAUUAUUUUGUUUUGUUCUUUCCAACUUCCUUUUCUUGUUUUUUAUUUGAAGAUUUUAAAACUCUUUUUGAAUAGGUAAUUCUCUUCUUCACUGCAAAAACACCCUGCUAAGGUUUUGCUUUUCUUUUUUAAUAGACUAGUAACAUUCCUUUUCAUGAUUUUAUAUUGUAAAUGGCUAAGAUAUUGCAAAGCUUGAAUCCCAUUAUCAGCAAAUUUUUUUAAAAUAAUUUAUAAAUUCAAUAUUUAUAUAUAUAUAUAUAUAUUGUAAUUUAUCAGCAAAGCUGUAGUGCAUUUGUGUCCCCAUUCAUUCCCAUUCCUAUCGGGCUUUGAAGAAGGUUCGAUUUCCAUGAGACCACUAUUUGAUUUAUGGACUGCGGUGAUGCCGGGAAACAUAAAAAAAUCAAUUUGCAAAAUGCAAUUGAAUGGACCCCAAACCCCAAUCCCAAACAAUUGAGAAGAAAAAGACAAGGGGUUUUCUUUCACAAGCCUAAAAUUAAAAACUAUUGGUUUCACAAAGAGACCAAAAGCAAGAAGAAAAAUGCAUGGCUGACAGUGCCUUCCACCACAGUUCCAUUUGAUAUUGAUACACCGACAUGCUUCCGAUGGUUUGAUAGUAGGUUGUUUCUUCUAAAAAAAUAAUUUCUUUGAUGGAUUUUUUUUUUCUUUGGCAUAAGUCACUUGUAAAAUGACUCUUUAAAGUAACCAAAAGCCAGUCUCACAUUGAAGUAGUUUGUUUCCAAUGCCAUAUUCUUUUCUUGACGUCAUAAAUGCCAGUGUUCAACAAUUUUGAGCAAAUUCAAUGCUUUCAAGCAUGAUUUUUCUAUUAAAAAACCAUCCUAUAAAUCACAACAAUUGAUUUCUCAAGUAGUCAUGUAUGUCAAAAUGGUUUAAUUUCGUCAAUAAUUGCAUAACAUGGUGACAAAUAUUAGAUUUUUAAUUUUAAUUAUUAUAACUUAAUAUGACAAUUUCAAAAAUAAAAAAUAGUUUAAUUUCUAAUUAAGUGAAAGAGGCGUUUUCAUUAAAAAACAUAAAUUCGGAAGUGAAAAUUAUACAAAAUCAUUCAUGCAUGUCUAAAGUACAAGCAUAAAUGAUUUCACUUGAAAACGAAAAUGAAAAUGGGAAUUAAAGACGACUUCUUCAGUUCUUCUUAUUCAAUAACUCAUAAAUAUAAAGCUUUUUUAAUAAGGGUAAUUCGAAAUUCUACAAAAUUUCAUGGAACUUCAACAUGCCGAAUAUGAAGGAAAAGAUCAUACAUCUUAUGGUAACUUAAAUCAAAAUUACUAAGUUCCAAAAAAGAUUGAAAGUUUUCUCAGAUGAAUAGUCUCAUAAGCUUUUGUUCACCGCCGCCCUUUGAACUACUGCCAUCUCCAGGAGAACGGCUUCCCAACGUUGUCGUUUCUGACUCCUCCGACGACGGCGUAGCUUCUCUCAUCCUCUUCACCGUUCUAUCAUCACCGAUCAUCAAGCAGAGAUCAAUAUCAGUAGCUUUACAUUUAAUCACUUCAUCGAAAUCCUUCAUUUUCACAAAAUCAUGCUCUUUUGUCCCAAAAAACUGCCCCCCACCAACCGUUUCUGAAACAUCCUCAAAGUCUGACCCUGAAACCCCACCGCUAAAUUCGGGCAGCGGGUGCAACGUGCCUCCUUGAAGCACCGUCUGCACCGCCGACUGGCAGACGUUCCAGUUGCGUGUCCACAGCAACCCAACGGCUCCACUCACGGGGUUCACCAUCCUCCCCACGGCUUCAAACAAAAGUGACUGAAACAAAGCUGCAAACCCAUAUGAAAACAGAGAAAAAGCCAAUGACUUUUCAUUAUUUCAAGGAUAUAUAUAAAACUAGUAGAACAUAGAAUUACCAGGUCUUUGAGUCUGGGGCACGGAAGAAAGGAAGGACAUAAGGCCAGCGCGGCCAAAGAACCUGGCGACGAAAACGGUGGCGUGGGCUUGGGCUUGAGGAUUGUCUAUACAUUGCAAGCUUUGUCUAAGAAUGCAAUUUUCACUGCACCCUUUUCGGAGAACUCUACAGCCAUUGCAACUCAUUGUGAAGAAUCUUUCAGCAUAAGAAGAAUGGGAACAAUGGAAGCUAAGAAAAAUGAAUAGAUAAACAGAGACUUAUAUAGAGAGUGCAUGUGGAGAAAUGUGGGUGAUAAUUGAUAAUUGGGAUGUGGGUUAAGUAACCAUGGUUUAUUUUGUGGAGUUAACUGUGGUUAAGGGGAAUUUGACAAACUGAUUUGUGGUGGGUUUUGGGGUUCCAAAGAAAUGAGUGAGGAGCGGCUCCAGGUCUCCGCAGAUGGGGAGAUUGGGGAUGUACCAGGCAGGCAGGCAGGCAGGCAUAGCCGUUGGAUUCUGUUUCGUGGAUGUCUAUGACCAUGGAUUCUUUUCUUUUCUUUUACAAGUCAUGGACGUGAAGGCGAAGAUCAUUUUCAAUCAUUAGAGAUUGUUUGUCACAAUCCAUAAACUUUCUAUUGGAUUUUGACUAGAAGAUAAUGCAUUUGUUCAUCUAAAGUUUGAUCUGCAAGUUUAUUUGAAGCCUUUUUAGUCAAACGGUGCAGCUGCCAUUCUAUUAAAAUGAAACUGCAAAUUUUAAAAUUGAUUUAGUUGUCAAAUUGACAUUGUUUCUCCCAAAUCAUACAAAUCCCAAAAUGAAAACUUGGUUAUACUGACUGGUUUUAUUGAAAGUGUGACGUGGUGAAUUUGAGAUACUAAAAAAAAAACCACAAUUUGGAUAGGUUUUGUUGAUACCUUUAAACCUGAUAAUAUAAGGUUCAAGAAGCAAGUGCGGAAACUAGGAAGAAAAUGGGGUGAUGUGAGAGGAUGGACGAGGAUGACGAUAGCGAUGAAGCGGACACGUUGAAGUUUUAUCCGAUACUUUGCUGCACAGCAUUUUAAUAUAAAAGAAACGUGUAGUGAAUGUGAGAAGCUAAAAUGAAAGUUUAUUCUUCUUCUUUUUAUAUUUUAUUUUUUUGGUGGAGAAUGGGAUUCCAAGCCAUGACCAUUGGUUUUAACUUUUCUUUGGCUUCAUUGACAAAUAUUGAGUUAAAAAAAAAAACUUAAAAAACAAUAAAUGUGAUUAAUAAGAUAUAAUUAAUUGAGUUUGAAUCGAUAUAAUAUUAAAUUUAAAUUUAAUUUAAUUUAAUUUAAUUUAAAUUUAAUUUUUUAAUUUAAAUUCAAUUUAAAAUAAAAAUUAAAUUAUUCAAGCGUAUAAGAUUAGACUUAAUUAACAUAUAAAAAUAAAUUUAAUUAUUAUAUUUGAUAAAUUUUUAAUUAUUUAUAUUUAAAUUUGAUUUUAAAUUCGAGAUAUUUUAUUUAUUAAAAUAAUAAAAAUAUAUUAAAAAUAAAAAUUUGAUUAAACUUAUAAAUUAUUCAAAUCAUAUAUAAAAUUACUUAAAUUAAAUUCUAUCAAUAAAUAAAAUUAUUCAAAUUUAAAUUCGAUUAAAUAAUAAUUAAAUCAAAUUUAAAUUUUAUCUCAAUUAAAUUUAAAUAAUUUAUAAAUAUUAAUAUAUUAUUUGUACCUCUAAUUAGAUACGAAGUUAGGGGUAGGCGAUAUCUGAAACUAAAUAAAAGCCUUGGAUGGUGAGAGAGUGACGUUUUCAUCUUUGGUGCUUUCCUUCACAGCACACAAUUCUUUUUUUUUUUUUUCUUUUUAAUUGUCCCUUCCAGGGAAUAGAAGGACAAAUGUGGUUUGGGAAGUGGAUUGGGCAAGCAUUAUACAGGUCAGUUUUUGGUUCUAUAUAUACCAUCUCCAUGAAUCAGAAUUUAUUGAGAUUUUCCUUUUUUUUUUUUUUUUACUGCCCUUUGAGUUGGUUUAGUUACAUUAUGCAGAAGAGAAAAGCUCUUUUUUUUUUCUUUUCUCCUUCAGUAAAAGAACAAUCAUGAAUCUAAUUACAUAUAUAGGUCACUGUAAGUUCAACUUGUUCACAGCUUUCUGAUUUCAUAGAAAUUUUGUUCUUCAUUACAAAUACAAAUAUGGUUGGUCAAUGCAAGAAUGUUUUAACUUCAGUUAACUAUAUAAAGGUACAUUAAUCUGAAAUUUAAUUUAUUUGAUUUAUAUAAUUACAUAAAAAUAUUUAAUAAAUUUAAAUUUUAAAUUCUAAUAUCAACAACUCUUUUUAAUUCAAGUUGCGACAUACAUUGAAAAAAAUAUAUAAAAGUAUAUAUAAUUUGAGGAAGAAAAAAUGAUAGGCUAACGCCAAUCCUUUGUAAUAAACGCUCCUAAGAAAAUCUUUCCUGGUUGGUUUUGUGUCCGAGUGGAAGCUUAUCUCAGAGAGCUCUUAACUUGGGCAGCUUAUCCAAUACCUUUGAGAUAAACGGUACAUGAAAAAGGUACAAGCCCAUCGAAACGUGAAGUUAACAGCUGUUUUUUUUUUUUUUCUUUUAUUUGGAAAGUAAACAUUGUAACUUUUGCUGCGUCACAUUUAGUAAGAUUUUUUCUUUUUUUUUUUUCUUUGAUUUUAUUAAUAUUGAUUAUUCACGUGUUUGUAUCAUAUAUUCAUAUCAACGUAGGAGAGAUUGAACUCAAGCUUGGUUUUUCCUGUAUUGAAUAUCUGCUCAUUUGUCUUCAACAAACAGGAUUGAUUGGCAUCCUGCAAAUAUGUACUUUUUACGGAGUUCUCAUGAAACAUUGGUUGGAAGCUAUUAGAUCAUAAGUGAGAAAAUGUAUUCUAAUAGCAACACUUAAUUGAACAUCAAGUUAAUGUUUUUCUACUGCAUUCGCCAGGAGUUUUGCACAACCUUAAAGCAAUAGCAUGACAGAACCUUCAACAAAGCAACUUGAUUGAAAGAAGCAAGGAGUGAAUCACUUAUCUUUCUACUAUUUCGUUACAGAAACAUAGCUUUGAAGAUUUGAAUUGAACCCCAAAAAAAUGCACUCAACAUUGAAUGGCCAAUAUAGUGAAAUCAUGGACAGUGGUAACUGAACCAUUUGAUUUACCACACUCAUUUAUCUUAAUUGUUCACAAUCACACUGUUUGAAACACAAACUGAUUAAUAUGAUUGAUCACUGUACUGAAGUGUUAAUCAUUGAUCUCUGUACUGAUUAAUAUGAUUAAGAAAGCUAAAAUGUGUACUGCUCAUUUACUUUAUUUAAACAGCUCUUUGCCAGCUGUGAUGCAUUACCUGACAACUAGCCUUCAAAACGGCGAGACAAACAUCAAUCAAAUAUACGAGUAGCAUUGUAGCAACUUGCAUGAGUGGCUGCCUCUUUAUGCGUCUCCUGUACCUGCCCUCGAGUUCAUUAUACUUCCAGUAAUCAUUUUUUCCACAGCAAUGUAAAGUUUCUGCAAAAUAAGUGUUCUUCCAGACUAUAUAUGCUUCAUUUUGUUAAUUUAACAUGAAACUAGUUUUUGAAUUUACUAAUACCAUUAAGAGAGGUAAAGCCCUAAAAACCCGCCAAAAAGCUAGCUACUAUAUUCCCUCAUUUCUACUAAGAAACUGAAUGCCUCCUGUUUCUGGAUGGUGUUGACUUAUCUUCUUCUGGAUUGGCAGAGCCAAGACUCUCUGAUGAAUCUGAACCAAUAUUCUCACCUUGGGCUCCUUUGGUUGACCAUAUCUUUGUAAAUAUCCUCUUGGACUUCACCAAACCUUUCAUUUUACUAAUGGCAGCCCUGUCAACACUAUUUCUACUAUCUCCACCAUUUCUCUCACUCCCUCCUACCCCAUUGCCCAACCUUAAGGCAGCCAGUUCCCCUUUCAGGACCUUGAGCUCCUCCGCUGUGGCCACUGCAUCCCAAUCUUCCUCUGGGUCGGUUGCUGCUGAUCUUGAGCUUCCAUGAUAUCCGCCAUUUAGAUCCUUCAGGCCUUUAGGUAAGUCAGGAGUGCUACUGCCUGAUGAAGCAGCAGCCCUGACCUGCUCGAAAAAGAGAACCUGCACAACUACACGUAAUGGGAGCCUCUCAUUUUGCACAGCAUGCACACAUGCAUCAAUUGAUAGUUUCUUGCAGUCCAUUAAUUUGCAUAUUUUUUUUCUCUCACUCUUGCUGAUCCCUGGGUGCUCCUGCAUUGAAACACAGUAGAAUAAAGUUACAUAUAAGCAAAGUCAGAAGUAAGAAGUAACAUAAUUGGUUUGCCUUCAUAACAAUAAUAGUUGCAGAGAGAGACUAGGCCAAAAGGUUUAUUGAAUUAGUAGUUAUGGUCUAGGAGAGGCGGUUGAUGGCAUCACUUCUUAAUUUAAAAUGGAACAUUAGGAAAAGACUUCCAAAGCCAAACUUGGUGGGUAUUUAGAUGCAACAAAGGCUUAACAUAAACUUCAUUUCAAGUCAAGUAUAAUGCAAACACCAAGUUGUGUGCAUUGAAAAAUAUGGACUUUGGCAAGAUUCUCACCUUAAGAUACAUGUCAAUGGCUCGGUAGAGCCCAUCAUGGGCAGGCCGAGAGAUGCAAGACACCAUUUCAGCAAGGUCUACAAACUUUGACAAGGGUAAGUUGGGAUCCUUCGCAAUUUCAGCAAGGUAUGCAUCUAUCAAUUUUGCCACCAUCAGCUUGGAAGCAUCUGUUAAAAUUCCCGGUCUUCGUAUUUCCCGAACCUCAUUUUCUUCUGACUCAAAUUCAGCAUUCUGAUCUUGCAUCAGAAACUCUUUCACUAUUUUCUGUACUGUAUCAACAUCAUAAAUUACAUCUUCCCCUUCUGGUGCCCGUAUCAAAAGAUCAUUUACAGAAGCCUCUUCCAGUUGUUGUCCUAUUCGCCUCACCAGCUGUUCCCUUGAUAUUUCUCCUGUGUCAACAAUGAUGGCUGCUUUCAACAACUUCAGCAAGAAACUGCUAGAUACACUUCCUUUCUCUGCAGGCAACAACCAGACAAUUGUAUCAACUGUUGAUCGAUACUUUACAACAUCAACAGAAUGGAUCACACCCUUACUAAAACCCGGCAACCUUCUGUAAGAAUAAGCUUUCAAAGCUUCCCCAACCACUUCAUGGGACAGUAUUCCUUUGGUUUUAAUAUUCAUUAUAACACGCUUGUAUAGAUCAAUUUCAAGUUCACACAAAUCCUCAACCCACCAAUCCUUUGGCACUGGUCGACUUCUGACACCGUCACAUUUAGGAUCAUUCCCAUUUUCCUCUGGGAGCUUCCUCCGGUUAUAAGUAUAGGACCAAUCGACCUUGGAAACAUCAAUGCAAGCCUUGGUAGCUAUAGCAUCAAUGCAAAGACUGGCCACCUUCAGUUCCUCAGAUAAUGGUAAUAAAGAUGUUGUAGUCUGAAGAACAAUGAUCGAAUCCUUCCAGCUGCGGAAGAUGCUGGAGUUGAGGAAGACAUCAAUCUUGUAAAUUAGGUUCCCUUUUUCAAUGGUCUCGUGCAUUCCUAAGUACUCAGCUGCACAUCGAGCAGCAACAACAUUGUAAGCAUUAAGGGUGACGGUCAUGCCAUAACAAAAUUUGGCACAUAUCUCAAAUGCAACUGGACCGCCAGGAACAUCAGAAAUCUGAACUUCAUCACUAUUUUCUUCAUUACCGCUUGCUACCAACUUUUGCAAGCAGGCACUUUUUGACAGAAGAGGAAACUGCAUAUAUGUUCACCCAUUAGCUCCAUAAAGUGAAAUACCUUUUUAUGAUUGCAAAUGAGCAGAACUGAGCCAAGCUUGCUCAACCUAACUGAUCUUGUCAUUCUAAUUUGAAACUAGAGCACAGCUUAGUUCACGUGUCUUAGAUAAAGUCAACAACCAAAAUUAGGUAGAUUUUACAUUUCAGCAAUUAUAUGAAAUCCUAGACUAACACAAAGGCAUAAGUUUGGAUGGAAUGUAAGGUAUAAUGCAACGCACUCUAGCAAGGACACCAUACUCAAAAACAACGCUUGACCAUAGAUGAAAAUUUUACCUGAAUUGAAAGAAAAUGCAUACCUUGUGCAGAUAAAACUUAACAUCCCCUACAGUGACAGUAAUGUCGGUUGCCAGCUCAUUUGCCACAUACCUGAACAUGGGUACAUAAGCUUAAAACCAUUAGAACUUUUCAAAAUUCACACAGGUUGGACAACGACAAAAUUAGAGAAGUCCCAUUAGAGCUUUUGGUAAGAGUUGAAAAUUUCAAUUUGUACACCGUUUGUCUUUCUUUUUAAGCUAUUAACAGUUGAAAAGAAAAUCCCUUUGAAUUGCUUUAAACAAUAUGCAAAAUUAUGCUUUUUGCCAAAGUAUGGUACUGAAAAGGUACUGUACUUUGAUUUUAUCAUACAAAAUAGCCUAAACCAGAAACCAGACACUCGUGAUGUCUGCAUUGCUAUGAUGUAUAGGCUAUAAAGUGACAGUUACCAGAUUUAAUAACAGAUGAUUUUAAGAAACUGAAAUACUUCUAGAGCUGUAGACCAUGCAACAGAUACUGCUGGAAUAUAGGAAUAAAUUGCUAAUAAAGGGAAACAUAGUUUUAGAGACUAUGAUGCUUUAGCAUCAAGAAACAAGUGCAUUCAUUUUAAUAAACUUAUAGAUGUAUAUUGAAUUUGUCUGCAUUGCAAUUGGUGCUUCUCUCUAAGACACUGUAAGGUAGCAUGCUCCUCAAAUGAAAGGGUAUUUACAGGAAUUGCAUAUUUACAUAAUAGAUGGAAUGGUUAUUUUACACGGUACUAUUACCCUAUGUUAUUAGGAAUGCACAAACAUCAGUCCAUUGCAAAUAACAUGUAUAUUGAUUUGCUUCAGAAAACAAGUUUGCAAUUGCCUAAACAACCAACAUCCAUCAAUUACCACAAUUGCAGUGGUAAAUCUAUAAUUAAAAUUAGUAAAACCUCUUCAAUUUUUAACUCAUUUUAACCGGAAGUGCAUAUGAUUAAGUUAUUCUUCAACCUCAUCCUACGUUCCUAAGUCUAUUAUGGCUUUAGCAAUCCACAGUUGAGCACGUCCCUGUUCCUGGUUAUUGGAAAGAAUAUAAUUAUAAAGCAAAGGAACUGGGAGGAUUUCUCCCAUAAUUAUAAAGAAAAAGAAUAUAAUCAUAAGCAGAAUUACUAAACAACUACGUAUAUUGAAGCUCAUCGAUCUUGAAUUUGAAUUCAUAACUAUUGUGCUAUGCACAACCAAAGUUAAUAUAGCCUGAGUAUGCAGAACUUAUAAUGUAUAUAUGAGGAACCAUAGAAGAAAAAGAAAGAAAGAUCAAAGGUCAAAACCACAUAAGAUUAGUAAUAUUUUAGAGAAUCCACCACCUGGGUUGGAAGAUGUUUGAAUAACAUGGAAGGGGCUGUGCGUUUUCCCUUGAAGCCCCCCAAGCCAAAAAAAAAAAAAGGAAAGCAGCAAAGUAGCAGUGUUACGAGGAAAAUAACAAAUCAAUAGCCUACAAAAGCUGCUAACCACAUCAAACAUUUUUUCACCUUGUUACAGUAUACCAAUAAAUGGUCAUCUAGAAAGGACCAAAAUUUCACAUACCCCCAAAAAGAUUCCUAGUUCAAGCAUAAACCACAGAGGCAAAGCUACCAGUCUAGUAUGAGAAUGCCGUUGAAAUGAACACAAAUAAUUGACAGAGGCAAGAGAUUAUCACUUAAUGGUCUCAUGGAAGAGAAAAUGCAUCGAACAACAUAUAGUGGACAUUUUUUUUAUUAUUCAGUAAGGGAAUAAAUGAUAGAUUGGAAAUAAGAGUCCACGAGAUCUCACCUCAAAUUACUCCCAUCGCUCUGAAACGUAUCCGGCUUUGAUCCAAGCUUCAUAAACUUCAUAUUGGCAAUCUAAAGAUCUUCCUGCACUCUGAAACCUCAAAAUGAUCUUCUCAGCUACUCAACCGAUCACCACUAAAUCAAACACUAGACACUGAGCAACUCACAUACCCAAUGAAACAUAACCCCAACCAAGGAAAAGUUGCCAGAAGUGGUAAGGAAUACCCCAGGUGUGGGGACCGACUUUCUGAACGCAACCAACUUUCUGGGAUUCAAGAGACUAAAGAAGGAUCCAAAGGGUGGGAAGGAUAUAUACUCGAAGAGUAGGACAGAAUCUCGACAGCAAUCGAAGCAGAGGGUGGAGGGGUCUGAGUAAGAGAGAGAACUAGAAAAUUGGCAAGAUGGGGUUUUGAGUAAUAAUUUAAGAAAAGUUUCUCUUGAAUGGCAAGAGAGCCAUGGAAGAAGUUGUUUCCUUUGUUGAUGGCAAAGCCCACCGAGUCCGGGCACACCCAGUCAGCUUAGGAGACAUAGACAACAGACUCUUUGCACUAAAUAAUUCCAAAAACCAGAGACACUCACAGGCACCAAUCUGACUUCACCUCCACUCCCCACUAUUUCUUUAUCUCUCUUUAUCUUUCUGACUACUCUGUUCCGUUGUUUCUCCUUUUUUUUAAUUUUAAAGUUCUUAAAGAUUCAUAUCACCACGACCUCUUGGUCUUAAAGGCUUCAAGUUCCAAACUUGACAUAUGCUAAUCAAUAUAUAGUUUUUUUUUUUAUUUCUUUUUACCGUUUAAGUCUGAAACCUGCAAUGGAAAACAGCAUCUCGGUAUCAGUUGAAAAAACCACCAAAACGGUAGACAACAAGCAUCUAUCUUUAUUUCUUUUUUCAAAGUAUGGGAAUAAAUUAAAAAUAUCACAAAAAUAAUAGUUAUUAUAGUAAUCAACAUCAAACAUCAACUACCAACAACAAUAUCACCACAAAAUUAAAACUGAAAUCUGAGGAAUCAACCAGAAUAAAUCACAGAAACCUAAUUAAAUAACAAAAUGUCAAGACUCAAGAUCAGAUUUUGAUAUAUGCUGUAAAAUCCCAAAACCCCACAUGAAUGGGAAAAUGCCCAUAAUCAACUUGGAAUCCAGAAGAGUAAAAGACAAUCCCCAAAACCCACUCUCCGUGUACACCCCAACAAAACCCAAGACCCUUGUAUCAAAUCUGCAAAGCCCAUACAAACAAAGAAAAAUAGCCACCUUCUCCAUUGUAGCAAAACAACAAAUCCCAUUUUAAGCAUGAACCAGGAGGUACAAGCAAGCCUAGGAAAGCAAAACCAUCUCAAACAAGAAGCAAAUCCAAUAACAUAAAAACUCAGAAAUGUCAAAACAGAACUUACCAAGAAAUUUACACCACCAUUGCAAUUAGUUUGCGUCUCAGCUGAACAGUAAACACGUUUGAACAGUAAUGAUCACACGCAGGAACCAUGCACGAGCAUUUGAGUCAGUUUAAAAAAAACAAAACCCAAGUAACGAAAUUUACACAAAACCCACAAAAACCAACAACUAAAAAAAACAACCUUCAAGUACCCAUCAGUAAAUGACCGGUUUAUUAGUUUUCAGGAGAAUCUAUCAGAGUACAAAUUCAAAGAGAAACUCAAAUUGUCUUUUCAGUUUUGGACAAAAAGCCAAGCUGUUGCCAAAUGUUUUAUCUGUUCUUCGUACUAGCACUACUACAACUAACCCUUCAACACAACCAAAAACUUUAACUUUGUUGCUUCGUAUAUUUCUCUCUAUUAAUAUCGGUGAAGAAAGUAGAUUUAGUUUCAUUCAGUUUAUUGGGAGAGGGGUGUCAUUAACACACUCAACAUCUAGCUCAGCUAUGCACGCCAAAACUGACACUCAGCUAUCUUGUUGCCAACCUGUUUUUAUUAAAUGGCUUCUCUUUACUUGUGUCCUAAUUAGCCUAUCACUAUCUCUUUCUCUCCUUUACUCUGUUUAAGACCGGUUCCUCUGAAAAAAAAAAUUGGAGAAAUUAUAUUAGAAUUUCACGAUUUCAACCCAAAACAAAGGAAAAUGAAAAAGGAAUUAAAGUCUUUUUUCAACAUAAGUUAUAUUGUCCGUUUGAUUGCGGUGAAAUCAUGACCAAACAAUGGGGCUAAGAGAAAAAAAAAUUGGUUCUUUGAAUGUGUGUGAAAAUCAAAGUGCAUGAAAUUCACUAUUGCCAAAAUAGUGUUGUAUGUUGCUGUUGGAAUUUAAGAUUGAAAUUUUAAAAACAUAAAUUUUCAAGAAUUUGUGUAAAAUAGAAGUAAGCUAUCUUUUGCAGGCUGUAGUUAAUCUAAUAGAGUUUAUUCUUGAAAUUAAGAAAAUUUUGUGUCAAAUUUUAAUUGAAAAGGUAUUAAGAAUGAUUCAUUUGUUGGUUCUAGUCUGAUACGAUAAUCAUACCAUUUAUCCUUGAAAAGUGAUACAUAGCAUUUUGUAACUACUAAGUAGUUGUGGUAAAUUUUAAGGAUAGAUUUUCUCUAAAAGAGAGUUUUUAAACGUAUCUUCAUUUUACUUUUUAUUUUUUAAUUUAUUUAUAAGUGAAAUUAUUUUAUUAUUUUUUAAAAAUUUUAAAUUUUAAAAUUUUUAUAAUUUAAAAAUUACAAAAAAGAAAAUUUUCGGAGAGUUAGUUUGCAAAACUUGAAGAAAAAUUAUAUAAAAAAAGAAUUUUAUUAAAAAUUUUUAUUAAUUGAUAUAAAGAAAAAAAUUAUUAUUGGAAAGAAAAUUAUAAAUUUUAAAAUUAAUAAAAAGAAAAAUAACUUUACUAUUUUGACUUUAAAAAAAUAAAAUCUUAUGAGGUCUUAAUUAAAUUAAAGAUAAAAUAAUAAAUGUAAUUUUUUUUUAUAAAUUUAAAUUUAAAUUUUUUAUUAUCAAUUAUUAAAAUUUUAUAAUAGUCAUAACUAAACUAAAUUUUUUAAAGAAAUCUCUCUAUUUACUUGUCAGUUUUCUUUAGUUAACAUAUUAUAUUUUAAGAAAAUUGUAUAGUAUUCAAUAAUAUUAUUUACACAACUUUUAAGAUUUUGUAUAUCAGAUAUUGAUAAGAUUUAAUAGUAGACCUGACGAUUUGUGUAUUUGUAUCGUGUAAAAUAUUAAAUUUUAUAUAUUCAUAAUAUGUUUUAUAUAAGAAUUACAUGUUAUAAUUUGUGUCGAUAUAAAAAUAUAAUUUUUUUUUACUUUUGUUAAACCCAUGUAUAAUUAUUAUUAAAAUUUUAAGUCAUAUUAUAUUCCUAUCAUAUUUUUAUAUCAUGUUCAUAUCAUGUCAUUCUAUAGUAUUUUAAGUUGUUAGGUCUACUUAAUAAUUCCUUCAUCAUCUUUCAUAAUAUCAAGAGGUAAAAUAUUUAAUUAAAAUCCCAUAAAAUUUUAUUCCUUUUCUAAAGUCAAAAUAAUAAAAUCAACUUACUUUUUAUUAAUUUUAAAAUUAAUGAUUCCUUUCUAAUAAUAACUUUUUUCAUUAUAUCAAUUAAUAAAUUUUUUUUUUGUAAUUUUUCUUAAAAAGUUUAAAUACUUUUAAAAAUUUGUAUAACUUUCCAAAAAUAAAUAUUUAGUAACUUAUAUAACGGAUACAUAUUCCAUAAAUUAAAUAAUUUAUCGAAUAAAAAUAUUCAAAAAUUUAUAAAAAAGACAACUAAGUAAUUUCGUUUAAAAAAUUAAAAUAUGAACUUAGGGUGCAUUUAAAAGCUCUCUCCAUCUCUAAAAAUGUGGGGGGAUGAGACUUAAAUUGAAAAGUCUUUUAUGCAACUAUCAACUAAGCAAUGUAUUUGAUUAUUUAUAAGUUUUUUCUUUAUGUUCAUGAACAUGAUUUUUUUUUUUUUUGAAGAUUUACCUUCAUUGAAAUUUAUUGUCAUUUGAAUUAUUGACAUCUUAAUUAUUUUUUUUAGUGGUAACGAGUUUUUACACUUCACUUACUACAUCCUUUACCGUAUCGAUUCAAAUAGAUUUAUUUAACCUAUCACAUGAAAAAAUUAUUGCCACCCUAUUUGCUACGCAGCAUUUGCAAGAAUUAUUAGCAACAGUUGCAGAAUAUUUAAUGCUAGUAUAUAACAGGAUAUUAGGUCAAUUCAAGGUCAUGCUAAAAAGAGCCAUCUCUUUCUUAUCCCUCAUCCAGCUGAAGAAAAGCCAUUAUAACAAAGAGGUUAGAUGAGUGCAACCAAAGGUAAAUGGUUGUCUCAGGACUGUGGGGUCCCAUCAAUUUAAAGAAGCUUGAUAUCAAUGAUAAGAAUGAAUAUUUAUAUCCUUUUUUAUUUUUGCAGUGCCAUUGCAAUCACUAAUUCGCAAUCUUUUUUCCUGUUUCUGGAAAUGUUAAAAGUGUUUGAUAUUUUAAUAUAUAUUCUGAGCAUUCAUAUCAUUUAUGAGCAUUCAGACUGUUUGAUUAUCGGGUAAUUUUCCUUUUCAAAUUUCGAUCUCUUUAUAUAAAAUAAUUUCUUAAAUGAGAACUGCAUUAACAGCUUACAUUUAAGGGAAUCUUGAAUUUAUUUGACAAUUGAUUACCAGUCAAGCUACAGCAAGCCAACCAGCUAGCAUCACCCUCUGCCUCAUAGGAUGUUAAAGCUCUUUCAUUUGCAAGUUAUAACCCCGUGAUGUCCCCAUGAUGCCAAAGAAUCCUUUUCCCAACCAAAAUCAACAAAGACAGGCAGCAUGGAUCAAUAAAAAAAAUUUGGGUUAGAACAUUUCCCUAUGAAAGUGCUAGAUUUCUUUGACAUUUAUGAUCACCUCAUUCACAGUUUCACACCACAUUUCGAGGCUUUUCUUUCUUUCCUUUACUGCUUUAUAAUUAGUAGAUUAAGAGAGUUAUCCAUCAAAAACUCCAACACAUGUUGCUGACUGUAUGUAUACUAUAUAUAAAUCCUACUGCUACAUAUCUCACAUAAAAAAUUGGGUUUGGGAUUUUUUUAAGAAACACUUGAUUCCUUGUCUAUUUUUUUAACCAAAUCUUCAAACUCAGAGAAGGUUUUUUAGGCAGAAUUUUUACCAAAAGUCAUUGUGUGGUUGGGGGAUUUCGACGAGAAAAUUUGUCAACGGAUUAUGAUGAUCAUCACCCCGAGGUAGUGUUCAUAUGAAGGGGUCCUACAUGCCUAAUUUUGAGCACAAAGUUUCUCUAAAGGAAUAAAAACUCCAGCUUAUGGUCGUAUGCUAGUUGUGGAAAAAGAGGUUCCCAGUCUCUCUAACUUUGAGUCUUUGACCCACCACAUGCUUUUUGCAAGUUUCUUGGAUUGCUUGCCCGUUUGUGCCAAACCCCAGCUUUACUUCUUGAUUGAUCGUUAUCUCUUGAUCAGUUUGUAUGGAUACCCGUGAUUCCGAAUUGUAUCAUCAUCAUCUUCGUAUACUCAUUUAGCUAUCUCAAUCAAUUAUUUUUAUCAAACUUUGUACAUAAAUGAUAAAUCCCAAUACUUUCUCAUCUCACCAAGAUGAUGAAUCAAAUCGAUUGUCGGUCAAAAUCAUAUAUAUUUGACUAAAAAAUUAGUUGGCUGGGAUCUUAUGGGAGACAAAGUGAAAUAGCUAAGACGUUGUGAUCAAAAGACACUGCUGGUACAACUCAUUUAUAUACUGCGUAAGAGAUAAAACAAAUGGGAAAAUGGUUACUCGGUGGACUAAGAGAAUGCACAUGGGCACCAAAUCCAUAGUAGCUUAAAAGUUCCACUUUAAGUAGGGCAAUUUGCUUGAUUUUCCAUACCAAGACCGAUACCCUUUAAUCAUGCCAGCCAUGCAUGACCGGUACUCUCUAUGUUUUGCCAUGCAUCAUACCGCAAGUCACAUGGAUCCUGGACUAUAAAAUUGAUAAUCGGCUUCUUCCUUUAAAAAAAUGUUUGGUUAUUGAGUACGAUGCCCGAACAAGUAUAAAAAAUCAAUUUAUUACUGUUUCCAUCUCAUUUUCGUUCUUUCCUGUCUCACAUUUGUAAAAUUGCUUUGCUUGUAUGUUACACUUUGAAAACUUAGCCCUUUUUUCUUUUAUUAUUCUUUUGCUUGCUUCUCCGUCUAUGUAUCAACUUCCCUAAUGGGAGAGAAAGUGAAACAUGAGCUAUAGCUCACAAGGCAAGCAUACAUGUAAAAAAGAAAACGCAUGUAUCAGUUUGGUUUUAAGCCACCCCUUCUCUGUGCAGAAAAUGAUAUUCAUAGGCUAGAGUCUGGACCACCAUCGAUUGGAAGGUGCCCAUGUUUUCCGUUUCUUUUCGCCACUAAGAUAUACCCCAUUAGAUCGAAAAAGCCAAAGUAUUCGGCAAACCCAUGGCAGGCAUUAGAAAAUCCCGAUCAAGCCAUAUUUAAUUAAGAAAGUUACUACUAUUUCUUACUAUAAUAUGAUUGGUUUUAUAAAAAUGCUCAAGACAAUUUCAGGAUAAACAUAUAUAUAUAUAUAUAUAUAUAAAUCUUCAUGGAAACUGAUUGAGGUGAAUUAUAAUUCAACCCUACCUGUAUAUGUCCAAUCCAAGAUUCCAACUUCAUAUAUUCAUAAUGAUUUCCUAGAAAAACAAUAAUCAACAUGUAGAAAUGUUGAGUUUUUUAAUUUAGAGCUCCAAAUAUUUGUGGGUACAAACAUCACUGUUUUUAGGAUGAAAGCUCAAAGCUCUUCAACAUAUCUUUUAGAAGUUUACCGGUUACUUUCCAAGUAAUUAUUCAAGUGGGUACAAUACUGAUAAAAAAGAAAGAAAAAAGAAAUUCAUGUCAGGAUUAGAGAGUGAUAAGAUUGAUACCAAAAAAAUAAGAACAGAUUCAGGAAGAACUCAAUAGAAAUAAACAAAAACUGCUGUGUAUAGUAGUGGGAAUAUAUAGUUUGGAAGAAUAUUCUGGAAAUGGAAGGUCCCACUCCCAUGGAGCCCAGCUAUGUGUUGGUACUUGCAUGCAAAUAAAGCUGGAUCGGCCAAGGGAAUGGCAUAUGCCUUUUUGCUUUUGACAAAAGUGCUACACUCUGAAAAGGAAAUGAUGAUUAGGGCUUCUAACCCUCUAAACCAAAACCAUGCAGAAAACCAAUAAACCUAACACUUUGUUUAGCCCAAUUAUAGCUUUGUUGGUACUUCUUCAUGUCUUUGGAAGUGUGUGGCCCAACUGCUUUAAGGAGUUCAGUCUCCUUUUUCUUUCACUUUUUUUUUUAUCUAGUGCUUUACACAGUAAGGCAAUGAUUAGACAUUCUUCCUACCCCAAGCUAUUAACCAUGCAAUUCCAUUAUUGAAUCUCUCUAAUUUAUUUUUCUUCUUUUCUAGUAUCAGGAAAUUACUUAUAUUGUUAUAUGAUCUGUUAAUAAGAUAUUAAAUUUCUAAUUUCUUAAGUUAAGAUUCAAACUGUAACACUUGAAAAAAUGAAUUGAUUUGUGAUUGUGAAAUGCUUUUUCUUUCUUUUUUUUUUCUAUUUUUAUAUCCACUACUAUAAUAAUUGGUGUCAAUGUCUAUUGAUGUUAAUGGAAAAAGAGAAGGUGGAAAACAAAGGCAUGAUGAUGAGAGGACAUUCCAAGAGGGUCAUAAAUACAUAUCAUUCAAAGCAGAGGUUCUCUCAAGGGACCCAAGUUUCAGACAUUGGAGCUGCACAUAUUUUUCUUCCUCAAGUUUCACAAUCUUUUCUUGCUUUGCUUUAAUCGGUGAGAUAUUACAUGGUAUUGGUAUAGCAUUGUUCAUUAGUACUUCCACUUUUAACUUAAGGCGUCCAACUAGCCAUCUCUACUACUUCUCGUAGGCUAGGCUUGGCAGACAAAUCCCUUUGAAUCUCAUUUCUGAUCAUGCUUUUACUAAUUUCAGUAAAAAAAAAAAGAAAUUUCCUUUGAUAUUUGUUGAUGAUGAACUAUAUCUUAUCAAUAUAUGUUUAAAAUUAAAAUAUUAAAAAAUAGAGAAGAUUCCUACCCACACCCUCAUCAAUUGUUUUCUUAUAUAGUAUUAAAAAUCAAAGAAAUUCAAUAAUUUUCUAUUAAAUUUUUAUAUACAAAAUUUGUAACCAUAGUAUAAAUAAAAUUUACUUCAAUUGUUAUGACAUGAGACAUGAUUAGACUUAUUAAUUAUGAUAUGAACUUAAAAAAUUCAUCCAAUUUAUCUGAACUCAAGUUUGACUUAAUUUAAUUUGAUUAUAAAAAAUAACAACUUGUAUCCGUUCAAUCCAAAUCAAAUCAAUCUAAAUCCGAAAAAUUAUUUAAACUUAAAAUAACUUGAAAACGAAAUGAUCCAAAAUGAAAUGACUUAAAAAUUAACUCGAAAUAACCCAAUAUUAAAUUAAAUAUAAAUUUAUUUUAAAAUAUUAAUUUAAUAUAUAUAAUAAAUAUAACAUAAAUAAAAAUAAUAAAUAUAACACAAAUGAUAACUUAUUAAAAUUAUUGAAAAUAUCAAAUUAAUAUUUUUUUUAAUAUCAAACAAGUAUAAUUUAUAUAUAUGUUAUGUUACUUAUAAAAUUUUUUAUAAUUUAUAAUAUGAUUUAAAAUAAAUUAUAUUUUUUAAAUUAUAAGCAUCCAUAUCAAUGUAUCAUUUUGGAAUUUGUAUAAUCUCGUAUAAUUAUAUAUGAAUAUCAACUAUCAUGUAAUAUAAUAUAAGCUAUUGAUUUGUGUAUAUACAUUAUGUUUAUGUUAUAAUUAUAUUAUUAAUUUUUAAUCAUAUAGUUUAAAAUAAAAUUAUAUAAUGAGUUACUACAAUUAUAUUAAAAUCUAAAAUAAUCAGGUACAAUUAUACUAAAAAUAUUAUUUAUAUUACAAUUAUAUUAUUAAAAUAAAAAAUAAUUGCAUAUUAAAUUUGUAUCAUAAAUAAAUAUUUAGAAUAUUUUUUAUAUGAUUAUAUUAAAUAUGUAAUUGUGUAAUAUAAUUAAAAGUUUAAAAUAAUCUUUUAUAUAUUUAUAUUAAAUUAAAUUAAAUAUAAAAAAAUAUUAAACAUGUCAAAUGUGAUACAUAUGUUUAUUAUGUCUUAUACAUGUUAAAAUUUAUGUUGACUUGGUUAAACACAUAACACAUUUUUCUAAAAUCCAUAAUGUUUUUCCGUAUCAUUUCAAUAUCAAAGCAUUAUUUAUUGUUUAAAUUUAUCAUCUAAUAAAAUUAAUUUUUUCAUUUAUAUAAAAAUUAAUUUUAAUUUAAAAUAUACAAAUUAUAUUUUAUUUAUUUUUGAAAAUAUUUUUAAAUUUUUAUCUUUUAAUAAAAUUAUAAUUAAAUUUUAUUCGAACUCAAUCAAAUAAUAUAUUUAAAUUUAAUCUAAUUUGGUUUUAAAAAUUAAUAAAUUAAAUCCGAAUGACCCAAACUCAAAUAAUUUUGGUGUUAAACCUGAAAUACCCAAACCAAAAUGAUCCGAAACAGAAAUAAUCAAAACUCAAAAUGAUUCAAAACCAAAACAAUCCUAAACUGAAAUGAUCAAAUCUAAAAUUGACCCCAUUUUUUUAAAGCCCGAAAUAAACCAAACUAAAUUGGUCAAAUCCAAAGCCAGCCCAACUCGCUCAAUUGACAAAUCUACAUGAUCAUUUCAAAACUUGAAGAAUGAUUAAGGAAAAACUAUAUGAAAUAGUUAUUCUAAGUUAGUAUAUGUCACUUUCAUUCAAAUCAUAUUACCAAAUAAAGUCAACUAUUUAUUAUAUCACAUAUAAUAAUUAAAUAGUGAAUAUUUAUUUUAAUAAACUCAUGCAUAUGAUGUGUAAUAACUAAUUGAUUUUUUUCAUAAAGAUAAUUAUAUAGCAUAAUUUGAAUAAAAGAAACAGAUUUGAAAUAAUUAUUUUAUACAAUCCUUUCUUAGGAUGAAGGGGGUGUUUGGUUGUUGGAUAAUAUGAGAAACGUCAACCUAAGGAUCAGGCUUUAGGCUUAGGCCUUUGGGUCUCCAAACCUUGGAUGAUCUGAUUCCGUAUGUCCAUUGUGGUCAUUUGUAUUGUCAAUGACCAAACGGGCCACAAUAACCUGUCCAGCCCACCCUAGUUGAAAUUUUCUAGUUGAUCAAAAACACCGAGACCCAUAGGGAAAUGAGAUGCACAUUUUUUUUGUACUUAAAAUUAUUAAAAAUUAAAAUUUGAUUACUGAUAUUAAAUUUUUAAUAUUUUAUUAAUAAAUGAUGACAUGCACAUUGUAAUUUCUACAUAUUAAUUCUCGUUUGAUUAUUAUCUAGUUACUUUAAAUUAAUACAUAUAUAUAUAAUCAAUGAAAACCAGAAAUACUUUUAUUUUCUAAAAAAAAUUAGAUACAAAAAUAAAUUGUACAAAUGUUUUUGUAAUUACAAACUAAAAACUAAUAUUUCUUAAAUAAAAAAUAUGUCAUUUUAUUUUUAUAUUAAUUAUAUUUUAUCAAUGUGUUCAAAUUUAAUGAAAUAUAAUUUUUAUUUCUUUAGUUUAAUUUAACAAAAAGUAAGCAAAUAACACUAUUAUUACUCCUUAAAUAAAGCUCAUUAAGGAGGUAAGUACAUAAGUGCCUGAAUUGUUGGGAUCAAGUACAUACUGUACGUAUUCCACUAUUAUUAACAAAAGCUGACCUGAUAGUGUUGCCGUCGAUGCCACUUGCAAAUAAAUUAGGCCAAUUAGCACAGCAGCUUCAGAUCCAAACAACGACAAGCAUCCCAAAGACUUGGUUGAUUCAGGUUAAUUGCUUCUCCAGUAUUAUUAUUCCCUUAAAAAAUGCUAAGUACUAAUUUUCUUUCGUAGCUAGCCUGCCAAACUGGAACGCCGUCCUUAACAGUCUCGCUUUUGUAUAUAUACAAAAUAUAGAAAGAGUGUCUUCGGCUGCUUCAUACAGUGAUUCAGAUAAUUUUAAAAAAAUAUCAAAGUUGAGAUUCGAUUUUUUUUUUUUCCUUUAACGUAGGAUUCUGUUUGAAUGACCAAAAAAAAUAUAUAUAUAUAUAUAUAUAUAGAGAGAGAGAGAGAGAGAGAGAGAGAGAGACCAUGAAAUGAAAACAUUAAUUUAAAAACUGAAGAUGAGGGGGGAUGGUCGAAUAACCAGCCAACCCACUUUAUGUAAUUUGGGCAGGGGAUUAAUGACUUAUAUUUUUCUGCUUCUAUUUUAUGGGGCUGCUAAUUCAUUUAAUAAUUUAUUUUGACAAUAAGCGUAAAUUAGAUGGUGAAAGAUAUCUUGGCCAAAAUGACGAGAGUAUCGAUAGAUCCAUGCAUCCGCCGAAUUUAGAAUUUUUUAGGUGUUUAUUUAUAAUAUAUAUAUAUAUAUAGUAUUUAUUAAUUUUAUCAAUAAAAAAUAUUUUUUAAAAAAUAAGAGUUCAUGGGUAUUUUAAAUCCAUCCUUUUUUUGUUUGAAUGAUUAUGUUUUUUCUCCUUUUUGGCAAUUUUUUUAAUAAUUCGAUUAUAAUUGUUUUUUUUUAGCUUACCUGUUUGCUUGAUCAAAAAUUUUCAGGAAAUUGGGUGAAAUUUAAGGUUUGUAUAUAUUUUUUUAAAGUUAAAUUAACUUGACUAUAGAUUAAAUAAAUUCAGCUGCAAAAGAAAUGUGAUUUAUGAGUCAACCUGCUUGAUUGCAAAGUAACACCCAAAUUUUGUAGUGCAAUUUUGUUUUAACUUUCUAAUAAAUGCCUGAUUUAUUGAUUUGGUGAUAUAACAUGGGUUCUGAGACUCCAGCUCUAUUGGUUGAGAAGACAAACGCAGUAGUGGAGACAUCUGUUGGCAGGUCAAUCAUUGAACAUCUUAGGAGCUUUAAUGACAUCUCUUCUAUAAUUGUUGGUUUGUAUUUGAAUUCAUUUUAUGGCUUGCAACCAUAUGUUUCAAUGUUGUGAGUGCCCUAACUCAUUAGGAUCACAUGAUUUGUUAAAUACAAAAUUGAAUAAAUUUAAAUUAUUUUAAAUGAAAAGAUUAUUUUUGAAUUCUGAUUUUAUGUCGAAGAUUUUGAAUGUAUUUAUUUAAUUUAGAAAUUUUUCUAAUUUUUUUAAAUAAAAAAUUUUUAAACUAAUUUUAUUUUUUUAAAACAAAAAAAUUAUAAUUAAAUUUUAUACAAAAAAACAAUUUUUAUUCAGAAUUAUAAAUAACACGAUUAAUUGAUACCAAAUUUUUAGGCGUUGAAGGGUGUUCAUCUUUCUUCGUACGUAAACCCAAUAUGUUUUUGUACAUCAAAAUGCCGUUGGUGACAGAAUAGCUCGCCUGGUAAUGUUUUCUGCCUAAAUUCAUGGAUAUUUUAGUCAUGGACUGAUUCUGAUCGUUAAAAUCUUAUUUUGAAUUUUGUGGGAUUCUAGAGAUGAUAGAAAAUAUGUGGACAAAAUCUCCUCGCCAAUUGAUGUUUAAAGAGAACUGAAAGAAAAGAAGAUGACAGUGAAAAAAGGUAAGAAAAAAAAACUUUUGCUCUGAUUUGUUAUAUUUGGAAAAUUGUUUUGAUUUUUCAUAUUUAGGUUCUGAGUAAGUAGAGAAAUCAUAGAUUAAUGUAUGCUAAACUGCUCUUUCAUUGAACACUUCUAUUUUGCUUUAACCAUGAAGUAAUAUCUUGUUCAUUACUAAACAUGUGCAGGCAAUGAGAACAACUACUGGCUUUUGUGUUGAAGGUUGGCUUGCUAUUUACUUCGCUAAGGUUUUAAUAGUUCUCCACCUCUAAAUUUAUUGUUGCUUAAACUGCAAAUUAACAAGAAUCUAUUAUGCGAAAAUAUGACUUAAUAAUCUUUUUCAGUCUUAAUUGAAAACAAAAGGGAGCUUUGGCUUUGGCUUUGGACAUCGGAAGACUGGCCACAGGAUAUGGAAUGGGAGUCUUCUCAUAUGUGGCGGGUUUCUAUAUCUCCUCUAGGAUUUCACUCCUAAACCUUCUCCAGUAAUUGGUACACUACUUGUUCUUAACGAUCAUGAUGCCUUUUGUUGAAUGUAUGACUAGGUACUAGUAUUUAUUGCUGAAAUCGCACCAAAGAAACUAUAAACCAGGUAACAUGUGCCUGUCAAGUAGCAGCAGUCAUUAUCAUCAGCACAAUUUCCUGAAGUUGUGAAUUUAAUUUUCUGAACAGUCAUUAGUUGUCUGAAUGUGCAAUAUAAACACAUAAAAAAGAUAGAAAACAAUGAAACAUGCAUAUGGUUUUAUCUAAUUAUUUGUCAUCUUAUUCUACAGCUUAUGAUCUGCAAUGGACUAUCGGUUGCCUUCAUAAUAGGGCAGUUCUAACUUGGAGGGCUUUAGCAUUAACAGGUAAAAGUGUCUUAUCCAUUUAUUCAAAGCACAGGGAUUCACUACAUUCUUCUGCAAAACCAUGUGAACGUGUGUGUGAGUGUGUUUCCAAAGUUCGAUAAGACAAGCUGGGACUCAUAAGUGGAGUGAUUGCAAGACUUAUUCCUUGUGCAAUUCUAGUCUUUGGACUCUUUUUCUUUCCUGAGUCUUUCGGAUGGCUGGUGUGAAAUAGCAGUGAAAAGAUGAUGGAAUUUUUUUUUACACUGAACUAUAGUAACAUUAAAUGAGAAUUGGAUAAAAAUCUUAGAUAUAAUGCAGGCAAAGAUAGGACGUGAAAAAUAAUUUAAAGCAAAGGUGACUUGGCUACUUAGGAAGUAGUAGGUAUGGUCACCAAAAUCAAGAUGGUGACUUGGCUUUGUUGCAUGAAAGCAAGCUUGAUUUUGGGGAUCCAUUUAGGAAGCAUCAAAUGAUAUGUAGGUAAGUGUAUCACUAACUACUUAUUCAUAAGGUUGAUGGAAUUACUUCAAUUGUUUUUGCAGGCACUUACCAUUUGGCAUUUUGAGCAGAUAUCAUCAGAAGGCACCUACAUCAUGGACAGCGCUGGCUACCGCAUUCUUAUUCUUUGUGAUUUGCUUAUUAGUUGGCUAUAUCUUAUAUGGUGCAGCCAUGCACAUUGUUAAAGUUGAAGAUGAUUUCCAUGAAAUGCAAGCACUGAAGGUUCGAGCAGAAGCUGUUGAUGUUGCCAAAUCGCAGGUAUGAUUUUCAAGAUAUAUAUAUCAACACAUGGUUCACCAUCCAUUUCCAAGCUAAAACUAAUUAUGACUUGGGAGUAUUGCUUGUGUUCUUGAUACCAGUUUCUGGUAACAGUUUCUUAUGAAAUUAGGACUCCCAUGAAUGGCAUCCUUAGUAUGUUCCAGAUCUCUCCUUAAGGUUUUCUCUGUAAAAUAUACCUGCGAUGACAUCAACAGAUUUUAAUCCGGUAAUAUUCUGAUGACUUUUUGAAUGGUUGCAGGGAUGAUUGCUUUGCUUUUAGAUAUAAAUUUAAGUUCAACAUAAAAGGAUUAUGCUCAGGAUGCUCAAGAUUGUGGAAAAAUGCUGAUAACAUUGAUGAAUGAGGUGCUUGACCGAGCAAAAAUUGAAGCAGGAAAGUUAGAGCUCGAGUCUGCCCCCUUUGACCUUCGAUCUAUCCUAGAUGAUGUGCUCUCUUUACUUUCUGAAAAAUCUAGAAGUAAAGGUGUUAAGGUAAGCCCAGAUAAGAUUAAUAAAGCCUACUACUUCAUUUUUCAGUGUGUUUCUCUAUGUUAGAUAGUUCCCAUAGGUUAUAGGCUUGUAGGGAUGCCUAUGAUCAAAAUAGAAAAAUCCGUAUGGCUUAUAAUGCUUGAACUAACUUGGUGCCUUUGUUUUUCCCUUUCCUUUCUCUAUUUCGGUGGGUUGUUGAUGUCAAUAAAUGGUGGUGUUCCUGAUGCAUUACAAUGAUUGAAAUAUGGCGUAAUUCUUUGGGAAGUGAAGCUGGUAGUCUUUGUUUCUGAUAAAGUUCCUGAAAUAAUUGUGGGAGAUCCAGGGAGAUCCAGACAGAUCAUCACUAAUCUUGUUGGGAACUCUGUUAAAGUAAGAGGGUUGCCCAACCUUCACUCUUUUCGGCACUAAUUUAGAUGGAAUUAGGGGUGUAAUUAAGAGAGUCUCAUUUUGAAACUCUAGCUAAAACACAAGUUCAAAUUUAGUUUAUUAUUAAAUUGUCUUUGGUUUGGGCUGCAUUUUUAGAAAUUCAAACUUUAGUUUUGCAUCUUGAUUACCGUGUUACAGUUUGUAGAUUCAAUUUGUGAUCUCGUUUAUUUAUUGCAAUACUGCUAUGUGGUUUUUAGUUUGGAUCUUUCAUUUGAAUUAGCAUGCUUAUGUUGGUUACCUAUACAUACGAAGCAUUAGUUAUUGAGGUGAACUAUUGAUUAUUUGUGUGAAGUACUGUAUUUCUCAUUACAUAAUUUAUAUUCUGCUUAGUUCGUUGGACAAUUAAUUUUUUUUUCUUAUAUAAUCAAUAUACUUAUGCUCUUAAAUUACUCUCGAGAUGAACCGCGAGCUUAAAAUCUAAUUAUGGUGUAUAUAUGUUAUUAUUUUGUAGAAGAAAAAAAAAACUUGAAUUUGAUUAUCUGAGUAAGAAAAAUCAUACACGUUUUAUUAAAUCAAAUACUAAGAUGUAUUUGUAAUUGAUAAGAAAUAUUAAUAUUAAGUAACAGUAAUAAUAAUCUAAUAGCCCUGAAUUUGUAAAAAAGUUUAAUUUCCUAGAACCAGGGUAUCCUAGUAUCACUCAAGACCACGAGUUAAUUGCAUACAAUAAAUAAGAAUAUAUUCAUAUAUAAUCUAGAUUUAUAUCAAUUUUGAUAUUAAUUAAUUGUCUAUUACAAUAUUUAAAAAUUGAGGCCAAUAAGACUUUAACUUAAUAACAAUGAAAAAAAUCUUAGAAUCUUGAGAUUUUAAGUUUAAAUCUUAUUAUAUGUGAGUUUGAUUAUUUAAUUAUGUUUUAAUUUAUUAGUUAAUUAUUCAAUGAUCAUAACUUGAUUAUGAUGAAAUUCUUAAUUAUAAUUGUAAUUUUAAAAAAUUUUGUUAUAGCUGUCAAGCCAUCCAAGAUCUCUUUUGCUAAAUUAUUAUCCAUCGGAAGAAAAGCCCUUUAUAGGCCAAUUUGCAAUAACAUUUAUAACUGUCCAAAACAAAAAGGGUAGCUGUAGGAAUCUUAAUUGAUAAAUUAAGAUGAGAGCAUGAGGCAAAAGGAGUGAAUGGAGAGAAAAUUCCACUUCCUGACUGAAUUAAGGAUCAACGUUAAUAAAUUUUUAAUGUAUAUGAGAAAGGUAUAAGAUUUGAGUUUUGACAUUUAGUUCUAUAAAAUUGGAGAUAAACCGUACAAAGAGGAGAAUCAAGAGAAAUUAAAAAUGAAUAAUAAAAAUAGUGAAAAGGAAAUGAUAGUAAUCUUUGAAUUUAAUCAUUUACAACAAAAUAAGUCGUAAUCUUUAAAUAAAAAAAUUAUAAUUAUUAAAAUUUUUUACUUCAAAUUUAUUAAAUAUUGCUUAUUAAAAAUAAUUAUAUAAAUUAACUGAUCUUGUUUUCCACUCAUUUCUAUGCCUUUUUGAAAUUCAUUUUCAGGAUUUUCAAGGACUCUUCAAAUCUUUCAUUGUUCUUAAAAUUAAACAUCGAUGGCUACUUCCUUAUACCAAGAAAAAUGACUAUAAUUUCAUAUUGCCACAUGUAUUUUAAUUGAUAACACAUCAUAAACAAGCAUCUACACAUAACAUAAAUACUUAAUUUCCUCCCACACGGAAAAAACACUAAAACUAAUUUUGCUUGUUAUUUUUCUUCUUUUGCUUUUAGCAUCCUUCAAAUUCAUCAAAGUGUUAAACUCUCAUAGGAAGCCACAUUGUUUCUCCACAUGUCAAUCCGGAAAAAUUUUAAUGUUCUUGCUUUUUCAAAUUGUCUAACUCUAACAAAUACACAAAGCACUCCCUCAAGUUGAUCUUUUCUCGUUCUUAUCUGCAAUAACUUAUAUAAAAAGUUACUCCAUGGUUUACUUGCUAGAUUACUCCAGAAGGGACGAUAUAUUCUAUUUCUAGCAUCCCUUGGUUUAUAAGUUGAAGAAUAUUCCAUUGGAAAGAAAAUAAUUAUGGGAUUGGUCUGGAUGAAAACUGGCUUCUGAUAACACGCCAAGCUUGGCAUCUGACCGAAGUAUGUAGAAGUAGAAGACUUUUUCAAGUUACUGUAUAGGAUUGCCAAGGCGUUUAUACAGCUGGAAAGCCUUGUUAAUUGUUUGUUAUUUGCGUAGAUAAGUAGGACAGACAAACACCAAGUAACGUAUCUUGAAUGUUUCAGUGUUGGCAUGUAGGAAAAUUUCUUUUCCAGACACGAACCUUUGACGGCCGCAUUUGGUGGUGGGAAAGAAAAUGAGAGGAAAAGUAACAAGAAAAAGGCUAGGUGGAUUAAAGACAAUGACCAUUUUGAGGAAAAAAAAAUGAUCAAUUCUCGCCGUAACUCUAUGAAGCCAAAUUGAUGAGGUUUGUACUUUUGAGAUACCAAAGUGGCCUCCAACUCCAACUCCAAUGUGAUUAAUCUUUUCUUUUCCAUUUUUUUUUUCAAAUGUAAUUGUGAUAUGUAAACGACCCAUAGUUUUCCUAUAAAUUCGGUGUGUAAGUAAUUUCUUGAACUUGUCAUUUGAUCUUCGAGAGAUCCAUAUAUCUGAUUAAUCUCUAAAUUAACAAAUUAUAAAACAUAUUUGGCACUAACAGAAUUGACUUUAACAGUGGGGGGAAGGGGGGUUUUGGAAUUAAUUUCAUAGUAGCUAUGUUGGUAGGGUAUCUAACAUGUGACAAAGGGUUGCAGAAAAAAUACGGGUAUUAUCAUAUCACCAUGAUUAUGAGCCAUCGAUCAUGCCGACAUGUGCAUUAAAAGCAUUAAACCACAUGGGAUCGAUGAUAGUUAGCGAUUUGAAGUUUCAACUAUGAACCAUCUCCCCUAACAUGGGUUGGUUUUCUUGAUUCUGAACACCACCAUGGUAACUGCCUACCUCUUGGCUCUUGCCUGCUGUUUCUUCGCUGUUCACACGGCAAAACCUUUCCCCAGUUAUUAGCUCACUCCGUUAUGGUAUAUAAAAAUAUAAAAAAAUACCUCAUACGUUUAUUUUAUAUACUCUCUUUUAUUGACUAUAAUAUUCAGCAGCAACAAAAUUCAUUCACAUCCAAAACAUAAAUGUCAGUUAUAGUAUUAGAAAUAUUUUUCUUAAAAUAAUGAAUCAAUGAAUUGCCAGAAACUGACUACAAUAGGGAGAGUUCACAAACAAUGAACAAAUUCACUGUACAGAACAAUUUAUCAAAUACAAAUCCCAGAAUCAAUGAAAAAUAAAAUCAUUUUUCUUUGUCAAUUCAAUUAAUUCUACAAAUCCUGAAAUUAAUCUUGUGCUAAAGAAGAAUCCAGCUUCUCUUCCUUAGCAAUCAAGAAACGAGGUUUCUUGGUUGGCAAUGGACUUUCAGCCUCUUGUUCUGCAUAGAUUUGACUAAAUCUUCCAUCUUUAUUUUCCCCACGGAACUCCGGCAACGCGGGCAAGUUCAGGUCAAAGUCAAGGUCGACACGGUGGCUUUGGCUCAAAGCGCCGCCGUCUGACAACGUUACCCCACUAACGCUACCGCUACCACUCUUGUUACUGUUGUUAUUAUUGUUGUUGCCACCUUCGUAGUGGCAGCGUUUGUGGCCUCCCAAGGCUUGGCCUGUAGGGAAAGUCUUGUGGCAGAUGGAACACUCAUGGGCCCUACCACUACCGUUGGUGGCGCUGGUGUUGGUGCUGGUGGUAGAUGGAUUUUCAGCAUUGGUGGAAGCUGUGUCGGUGGAGGGUUUGCGAUGGCUGGCUUUAUGCCCACCCAGAGCUUGAUAAGAAGGGAAAGCCUUGUUGCAAACACUGCACUUGUAUGACAACUUCAAAGCUGGCGGAUCAGCUGCUGGUACCGAUGACGAGGAAGACUGACGAUGACCAUCACCACCGUUGGAGGCGGAGACGUUUUUGUUUUCCUUGGUGGAGCCACGAGCUAGCAUGAUGAGACAGAGAGCAAGGUACUCUUCUUCAGACGGUGCAGGAGACUCGCUCCGUGAUCGCUUUGAACGUUUGCCCUUCUUCCACGUCUCGUGGUAAUUGUUGUCGAUGUCAUCAUAUUUGUUGCUGAAAGGUGCAGCCGUGGUAGGAGAAUUCAGAGCUUCAAGAGCCAUAUUCUUCAAAUUCCUUCAAAUCCAAUCAAGUUUUAGAAAAAGAUUGAUAGAAAGAAAAGA